CCGUAUUGCCCCAAAUUGGAAUCACUACUGCCGCAAAAGAUGAGUUGCCUCACCUCUUUACAACAAUUGUGGGUUCAAAAUUGCCCUAAUCUGAAGGAUUUGCCCGACUGGAUACUCAAUCUCACUUCCCUUAGAAGUCUUCAAAUCAAUGAGUGCCUUGAAUUACAGUCCAUUCCAGAAGGGACGCCUCAGCUUACAUCUUUAGAAGAAUUAUCUGUUCAGAAUUGUCAUAAUUUGAGGGCUUUGCCAGAGUGGAUACUCAAUCUCACUUCCCUUAAAACACUUCGAAUUUGGGAGUGCCUUGAAUUACAGUACAUGCCAAAAGGGACACAUCAGCUUACCUCUUUAAAAGAAUUGUUCGUAGGGAAAUGCCCUAAUCUGAGGGCUUUGCCAGAUUGGAUACUCAAUCUCACUUCCCUUAAAACACUUCGAAUUUGGGAGUGCCUUGAAUUACAGUACAUGCCAAAAGGGACACAUCAGCUUACUUCUUUAAAAGAAUUGUUAGUAGGGAAAUGCCCUAAUCUGAGGGCUUUGCCUGACUGGAUACUCAAUCUCACUUCCCUUACAAAACUUCAUAUUCAGGAGUGCCUUGAAUUACAGUACAUGCCAGAAGGGACGCAUCAGCUUACCUCUUUGAAAGAAUUGUCCAUUGAAAAUUGCCCUCAUCUUAGGGCUUUGCCUGACUGGAUACUCAAUCUCACUUCUCUUGAAACACUUCAAAUUUGGAAUUGCCUUGAAUUACAGUACAUGCCAGUAGGGAUUUCUCGGCUUACAUUCUUAGAAGAAUUAUAUGCUGACCGCCAUAAUUUGAGGGCUUUGCAAGACUGGAUACUCAAUCUCACUUCCCUCAAAGAUCUUUAUAUUUGCGAGUGCCUUGCAUCACCGUACUUGCAAGAAAGGAUGCAUAACCUCACCUCUUUACAACGAAUGAUAGUUGAAUCUUGCCCUAAUCUAAGUUCUUCUAGACAUUCUCUCAAAACACUUCUAAUUCGGGGGUGCCCUGAUAUAUACUCCUGGAGAAUGAGGCAUUCUUUGUCCUCUUUAGAAGAAUUGAAUGUUCAAAAUUGCCCUAAUCUGGGGAAAUUGUUGUAUCGCAUAUCAUUUUUAAUCACUUGCCUCAAAACACUUACGAUUUGUAAGUGCCCUGAAUUACAAAACUUGCAAAUGGUGGAUCGCCUUACCUCUUUACAAGUAUUGUCAAUCAGUGAAUGUCCAAAAUUGUCGGAAAGAUGUGAAAAGGAAACCGGAAUCUUGUGGCCUCACAUUGCUCACAUCCCAUCUAUUAUAAUUGAUGGGCAACAGAUUCAGUGAUGAUCAUACAAUAUAUAGGUAACAAUAUUUUUCUGCACCUCUAUUUAUAUUUUCUCCCUGUACCUGAUAAUUCUUUUUUUUUCUUCCUGGAUUUGGAUGAUUCGUAAUUUGUUGUAUGCAUGUAAUCCAAGUUGACUAUGCGUGUAAUUUGUUUACUCUGCUACUUCUUUCUAAGUGGACUAACAAUAUUGAUUUUUUCUUAUAUAGACAAAUUUAAAAAAAUUACAGCAGUAUGAAUCUACUGAAGUUAUCAAAUUAUUCUGAUUUUUCACUUUGUUAUAUCUAAAUGUCUAUUUUCACCUUUUUCAAUGAUGUUAAUCUGUGUUCAGAGGAUAUUGUUUAGGUUGACCAAAAGUUUGGGUUUUCUGUAAGAGGUUGUCAACAGCUUUUUGUGCAGUGUUGAUGUAAUUGUUCAGUUAUCUUAUCACUAAAGUUAGAAUGCCAAAAGGAGUCUUUAACAUAAGCAUAAAAGGGAGUUGUGGACAGAUUAUUGUCAGUUGUUUCACUUCCCCUGUUUUUAUUCAUUGAUCAAUGCAAAAUUAUCUUUUAUACAAUGAGGCAGCCUUGGAUGUUUGUGUCAUAUCUUUUUAGAAGCAAAACCAAAAUUUAAUGUGAAACACUGGUGAAAUAAGCUGAGAUUUUAUAGGCACUUGCUUUUGUAAGGAAUAUGUUAACAUUAUUUCUUUAUUUUUUACUACGUGUUUAUAAUGGGAUGAUGACAUUUUUUCCAUUGUUUGAAGCAGGAAGAUUUCAUCUUGCCAAUUUCCUUCCAAAGCAGACUGUUGUUGAAUUGAAACCAAGAGAAAUUUCUAUUGGUAAACUUUACCACUUAUUUGGUUUGUUUUACCAAUUUCAUUUACUUUCUAUAAGGAAUCCAUUAACACCCAACUUCUUACUUCUUUCUGCGUGUCUUUAUUGGGAUUAUGGACUUUUUCUGAUAGAUUGAGAGAGUACGAAUUGAUUUCAACUUGCCAAUGCCAUUGUGAAGAAGAGUACUACAAUCCAUGGAUUGGAAGCUUUACUCUCAACAGCGCCAUCACUAUCUAUGUUACAGUUUGAUGGCAAUUCUAUGUGAGAGUUAAAUUUUACUUUUGAGUGUUUGAAUUCAAUAAAGGCUAGCUCGUGAAAAUAAUUUAACAACUUGACCUCUGGUGGCUUUGUAGAUGACAGAAAUUGCACAGCAUGCAACUCUUUCACCUUUUCUUCCCAAGAAGUAAGUGAUCUUGAAUUUAAGGUAAAUUAGCUUAUCACUUAAUGCUCUAUAGAAUUUACUGUGCAUAGAAUGUUGAAUAUUUUUUCAUUGCUAUAACGUUAUAAAAUUUUCAUUUUCUAUAGAAAAAUAAGAGGUAUCAUGACUAGCUCACCAACUCCCUUUCGAGGCAUUCUUGAAAUGCAGGUAUAUUCCCAAAGCAUAUCUAUUGCAGAAGUGAUGACUCCAUAUUAUAGUUUCUUUAGUUUUUGUUCUUGAUCUUUUGCAUAUCUUUAGUUUUUUAGACUAGUUAUUUGUGAAUGAAGGCAAACAACACUUGCUAAGUAGCGGCUCGAGUGAUUGGGAGAAUAGUAUGGAGUUGAGCUGUUUGGAAAACCCCUUUGCUUCUUUCAAAAUCAAUGUCAAUAGUUCCAUAUUGGCCGUUCUUUGAGGUCUUUGAACAGUGGCUUCAAUUCUAGUCUGUAGGCCUUUACUUAAUUAACCCAAACUGUUAAGGGGACCUAAAUACAAAUGUUCUUUCCAAUGUAUAUGGAGAAGACUUUUGGGAUACUGUUCUGGGAUUUACUAUUUGCUACAUUUGGGUGCUGCAAAGUGUCAAAGAAUUGUCAAUCAAAGAAUGUCCCCAAUUGUUGAAAAAAUGUAAAAAAGAGACUGAAAUCUAGUGGCCUCACAUUGCUCUCAUCCUGUCUAUUUAUAUUGAUGGCCAACAGAUUCAAUGAUGAUCAUACAGUACAGGUAACCAUAUUUUUCUUCUCCUCUGUUUAUAUUUUCUCUCUUUAUCUUUUAUUUCCUUCUUUUUUUCUUCCUGGAUUUGAAUGAUUUGUACUUUGUUCUAUACAUGUAAUCCAAGUUGGUAUACCGAUUGCCUAUACUUUGUACAGAUAGCAUACUUAUUGUGAAAGCAUUAAAUUUCAUACUCUUGUACGGAUAAAUUUAAAAAAACAGUAUUAUAAACGUACUUAAGUUACUUAAUUAUUCUGAUUUUUAGUUGUUAUAUCAAUUCCCAACUUCUUCUGUUUAACAUAAACAUAAAAUGGAGUUAUGGACAGAUUAUUGUCAGUUGUUUCACUUUCCCUGUUUUGUGCAUUGAUCAAUGCAAAAUCAUCUCUUAUACAAUGAGGCAACGUUGGAUGUUUGUGUCGUAUCUUUUCAGAAGCAAAACCAAAAUUAAAUAGAAAAGGAUCGCAGGACAGAUAGCUUCUAUCAUAGAGAUUCUAAAUAAUUGAAUAACUGAUGAAAUAAGCUGAGAUGUGAGAGUGAGUAUUCCUGAAAAUUUCAACUAAAAGUUUGUUAGAAUAUCCAGUCAAGACUCCGGAGCUGAAAGCUAGUAAUAAUAGAAACAAAUGUGAAAGUCUGCUUGUACAUUUCCUGCCAUAUUUGUUGUGAUGAGGAGAUAUUGCUAUAGGUAAUAUUUUCGCCUCUUCUUCUUGAUGUUGGCACUUGCUUUUGUAAAGAAUAUAUUAACAUCAGUUCUUUCUUUUUGUAUGUGUUAAUAAUGGGAUGAUGACAUGUUUUCAUUGUUUGAAGUAGGACGAUUUUAUCUUGCUAAUUUCCUUCCAGAGCAAACAGUUGUUGAAAUUUCUAUUGGUAAACUUUACCACUUAUUCGGUUUGUCUUACCAAUUUUAUAUGCUUUCUAUAAGGAAUCUAUUAACACCUAACUUCAUACUUCUUUUUGCAUGUCUUUAUUAGGAUUAUAGACUUUUUCUGAUAGUUUGAGAGAGAACAUGCGGAUUUCAACAUGCCGAUGCCAUUGUGAAGUAGAGUACUAGAAUCGGUAGAUCGAAGGCUUUACUCUCAACAGUGUUAUCACUAUCUAUGUUACAGUUUGAUGGCAAGUCUAUGUGAGAGUUAAAUUUUGCUUUGGGUGUUCAAAUUCAAUAAAGACUAACUGAUGAAAAUAAUUGAAUAGCUUGACGUCUGGUUUCCUUUUAGGUAAAAAAGACUGCACAACAUGCAACUCUUUCACCUUCUUUUCUCAAGAAGUGAGCCUUGGUCUAAUGAUCUUGAAUUCAAGGUUAAUUGGCUUUUCAUUUAUUGCUAUGUUAUAUAUGAGGAAUGUGCUUUGUAUAGAAUCCUCAAUAUUUUUGCAUUGCUCUAACAUUUAAGAUUUUUGUUUUCUAUAGAAAAGAAAGAGAUGCCAAUGACUUGCCUGCCAACUCCCUUCCGGCCAUUUUUGAAAUACAGGUAUUCUCAAAGCAUUUUUUAUGAGGAAUGACUUGCUUUUGUAAAGAAUAUAUUAACAUCGGUUCUUUCUUGUUUGUACGUUAAUGGGAUGAUGACAUUUUUCAUUAUUUGAAGCAGGAUGAUUAUAUCAUGCUAAUUUCCUUCCAGAGCAGACUGUUGUUAAAUUGAAACCAAGAGAAAUUUCUAUUGGUAAAAUUUACCACUUAUUUGGUUUGUUUUAUCAAUUUUAUUUACUUUCUAUAAGGUAUCCAUUAACACCCAACUUCUUACUUCUUUCUGCAUGUCUUUAUUGGGAUUAUGGACUUUUUCUGAUAGAUUGAGAGAGUAAAUAUUGAUUUCAACUUACAAAUGCCAUUGUGAAGAAGAGUGCUACAAUCCAUGGAUUGGAAGCUUUACUCUCAACAGCGUCAUCACUAUCUAUGUUACAGUUUGAUGGAAAUUCUAUGUGAGAGUUAAAUCUACAUUGAGUAUUUGAAUUCAAUAAAGGAUAACUCAUGAAAAUAAUUUAACAGCUUAACCUCUGGUGUCCUUUUAGAUUACAACGAUUGCACAGCAUGCAACUCUUUCACCUUUUCUUCCCAAGAAGUGAGCCUUGGUCUAACGAGCUUGAAUUUAAGGUAAAUUAACUUAUCACUUAUUGCUCUAUAUAAUUUACUGUGCAUAGAAUGUUGAAUAUUUUUUCGCUGCUAUAACGUUAUAAGAUUUUCAUUUUCCAUAGAAAAAUAAGAGGUGUCAUGACUUGGUCACCAACUCCCUUUUAAGGCAUUCUUGAAAUGCAGGUAUAUUCUUGAAGCAUAUCUAUUGCAAAAGUGAUGACUAUAUAUUAUAGUUUCUUUAGUUUUUGUUCUUGAUUUUUUGCAUAUCUUGUUCCUUAAUGCUUGCUUAUAACAAUGGAUUUUUGGACUAGUUAUCUGUGAAUGAUGGCAAACAACACUUGCUAAGUAGUGGCUUGAGUGAUUGGGAGAAUAGUCUGGAGCCGAUCUGGUUGGAAACCCCCUUUGCUUCUUUCAAAAUCAAUGUCAAUAGUUCCAUAUUGGCCAUUCUUGGAGGUCUUUAAACAGUGGCUUCAAUUCUAGUCUGUGGGCCUCUACUCAAUUAACCCAAACUAUUAAGGGGACCUAAAUAGAAAUGUUCUUUCCAAUGUAUAUAGAGAAGACUUUUGCGAUACUGUUCUGGGAUUUACUAUUUGCUACAUUUGGGUGCUGUUAAGUGUCAAAGAAUUCUCAAUCAAAGAACGUUCCCAAUUGCAGGAAAGAUGUAAAAAGAAGACCAGAAUCCAGUGGCCUCAUAUUGCUCUCAUCCUGACUAUUUAUAUUGAUGGCCAACAGAUUCAAUGAUGAUCACACAAUGCAGGUAACCAUAUUUUUCUUUACCUCUGUUUAUAUUUUCUCCCUUUAUUUGAUAAUUCCUUUUUUUUUUCUUCUUGGAUUUGAAUGAUUCGUUCUUUGUUCAAUACAUGGAAUCCAAGUUGGUAUACUGAUUCGCCUACACUGUGUACAGAUAGCAUACUUAUUGUGAAAGCAUUAAUUUCCUUCCAGAGCAGACAGUUGUUGAAUUGAAACCAAGAGAAAUUUUUAAAUAUAUUUAUCUGAAAUAUGUUUAAUGUUUGUUUAACAUUAAAUUGAAAUUUAAUGUUGAAUUGAAAUUUCUAAAUAAAUUUAACAGCAUUAAUUUGACUUUGGAAGAUGCUAGUAUAAGGCCUUUGCAACAAACAUUGAAGAUGACGAUGACCGAGGCUAACAAGACAUCAGAAGAAGCAUCAUCAUCAUCAAGGAGCACAUGUCAUUCAUAUUCUUCGGCUACCCUUCCUCUCUCCAUUUUGAAGCGUCUGAGACUUAAAGGCAUUAAGGAUUUAGAAGAUCUGCUAGAAGAGUUCCUACUGCCGUAUUGCCCUAAAUUGGAAUUGUUACUGCCGCAAAAGAUGAGUUGCCUCACCUUUUUACAACAAUUAUGGGUUGAAAAUUGCCCUAAUUUGAGGGCUUUGCCCGACUGGAUACUCAAUCUCACUUCCCUUAGCAGUCUUCGAAUUAAGGAGUGCCUUGAAUUACAGUCCAUUUCGGAAGGGACGCCUCAGCUUACAUCUUUAGAAGAAUUAUCUGUUCAGAAUUGUCAUAAUUUGAGGGCUUUGCCAGAGUGGAUACUCAAUCUCACUUCCCUUAAAACACUUCAAAUUUGGGGGUGCGUUGAAUUACAGCACAUGCCAAAAGGGACGCAUCAGCUUACCUCUUUAAAAGAAUUGUGGGUAGGGAAAUGCCUUAAUCUGAGGGCUUUGCCAAGCUGGAUACUUAAUCUCACUUCCCUUAAAACACUUGGAAUUUAGGAGUGCCUUGAAUUACAGUACAUGCCAGAAGGGACGCAUCAGCUUACCUCUUUAAAAGAAUUGUCCGUAGGCAAUUGCCCUAAUUUGAGGGCUUUGCCGGAUUGGAUACUCAAUCUCACUUCCCUUACAAACCUUCUAAUUAAGGGGUGCUUUGAAUUACAGUCCACGCCAAAAGGGACGCAUCAGCUUACCUCUUUAAAAGAAUUGUCCAUUGAAAAUUGCCCUCAUCUUAGGGCUUUGCCUGACUGGAUACUCAAUCUCACUUCUCUUGAAACACUUCAAAUUUGGAAUUGCCUUGAAUUACAGUACAUGCCAGAAGGGACGCAUUGGCUUGCAUCUUUAGAAGAAUUAAUUGUUUACUGCCAUAAUUUGAGGGCUUUUCCAGACUGGAUACUUGAAUCUCACUUCCCCAAAGAUCUUUAUAUUUGCGAGUGCCUUGAAUCACCGUACUUGCAAGAAAGGAUGCAUAACCUCACCUCUUUACAACGAAUGAUAGUGGAAUCUUGCCCUAAUCUGAGUUCUUCUAGACAUUCUCUCAAAACACUUCUAAGUCGGGGGUGCCCUGAUUUAUACUCCUGGAGAAUGACGCAUUCUUGGUCCUCUUUAGAAGAAUUGAAUGUUCAAAAUUGCCCUAAUCUAAGGAAAUUGUUGGAUCGCAUACCAUUUUUAAUCCCUUGCCUCAAAACACUUAAGAUUUGUAAGUGCCCUGAAUUACAAGAAUUGCAAAGGAUGGAUCGCCUUACCUCUUUACAAGUAUUGUCAAUCAGUGAAUGUCCAAAAUUGUCGGAAAGAUGUGAAAAGGAAACCGGAAUCCUGUGGCAUCACAUUGCUCACAUCCCAUCUAUUAUAAUUGAUGGGCAACAGAUUCAAUGAUGAUCAUACAAUAUAUAGGUAACUAUAUUUUUCCUCACCUCUAUUUAUAUUUUCUCCCUGUACUUGAUAAUUCUCUUCUUUUCUUCCUGGAUUUGGAUGAUUCGUAAUUUUUUGUAUGCAUGUAAUCCAAGUCGACUAUGCAGAAGUGGAUUUAAUCUACUUCUUUCUAAGUGGACUAACAAUAUUGAUUUUUUUUUCUUUUCUUACUUUGAAUUUUAUUUUUGUUAAGUUAAAUAUUACUACUAUGAAAUGUGACCAAAACUUGAUGUCAAAACUCUGCCAGUAUUUCACUGCCAUUAGGAACUUUUUUCUUGUUUUAAUCUCUCAUUCUUCAAUUAUAAUCCUAAGCAUUUAGGAUCUCACUAGCUCUAGCUGGAACCCUUGUACAGAAAAUCAUAUUUAUAGUCAAAGCAAUAAAUUUUAUACUCUUAUAUAGACAAAUUUUAAAAAAUUACAGCAGUAUGAAUGUACUCAAGUUAUCAAAUUAUUCUGAUUUUUCACUUGUUAAACCUAAAUGUCUAUUUUCACCUAUUUCAAUGAUGUUAAUCUGUGUUUGGAGGAUAUUGUUUAGGUUGACCAAAAGUUUGGGUUUUCUGUAAGAGCUUGUCAAAAGCUUUUUGUGAAGUGUUGAUGUAAUUGUUCAGUUAUCUUAUCACUAGAGUUAGAAUGCCAAAAAGAGUCUUUAACAUAGGCAUAAAAUGGAGUUGGGGACAGAUUAUUGUCAGUUGUUUCACUUCCCCUGUUUUUAUUCAUUGAUCAAUGCAAAACCAUCUCUUAUACAAUGAGGCAAUCUUGGAUGUUUUUGUCAUAUCUUUCAGAAGCAAAACCAAAAUUUAAUGUGAAACACUGGUAAAAUAAGAUGAGAUUUUGUAGGCACUUGCUUUUGUAAGGAAUAUGUUAACAUUAUUUCUUUCUUUUUUUCUACGUGUUUAUAGGGGGAUGAUGACAUGUUUUCAUUAUUUGAAGCAGGACGAUUCAUCUUGCUAAUUUCCUUCCAGAGCAGACAGUUGUUGAAUUGAAACCAAGAGAAAUUUCUAUUGGUAAAAUUUACCACUUUUUCGGUUUGUCUUACCAAUUUCAUAUGCUUUCUAUAAGGAAUCUAUUAACACAUAACUUCAUACUUCCUUUUGCAUGUCUUUAUUAGGAUUAUGGACUUUUUCUGAUAGUUUUAGAGAGAACAUACGGUUUUCAACGUGCCGAUGCCAUUGUGAAGUAGAGUUCUAGAAUCGGUGGAUCGGAGGCUUUACUCUCAACAGUGUCAUCACUAUCUAUGUUACAGUUUGAUGGCAAUUCUAUGUGAGAGUUAAAUUUUGCUUUGAGUGUUCAAAUUCAAUAAAGACUAACUGAUGAAAAUAAUUGAACAGCUUGACCUCUGGUUUCUUUCUAGGUAAAAAAGACUGCACAACAUGCAACUCUUUCACCUUCUUUUCUCAAGAAGUGAACCUUGGUCUAAUGAUCUUGAAUUCGGUUAAUUGGGUUUUCAUUUAUUGCUUGUUAUAUAUGAGGAAUGUGCUUUGUAUAGAAUCCUCAAUAUUUUUGCAUUGCUCUAACAUUUAAGAUUUUUGUUUUCCAUAGAGAAAGAAGAGAUGCCAAUGACUUGCCUGCCAACUCCCUUCCAGCCAUUUUUGAAAUGCAGGUAUUCUCAAAGCAUUAUCCAUUGCAUACAUGAUUCUAUAGGUUAAAGUUUCUUUAGUUUUUGUUCUUAUUUUUUUGCAUAUCUUUAUCCUCAGUGCUUCUUUAUAACAAUGGGUUUUUUGACUAGUUAGCUGUGAAUGGAGUCAACCAACACUUGCUAAGUAGUGGUUCGAGUGAUUGGGAAAACUGCCUGGAGAGCUGAGCUGGUUGGAAAACCCUUUUGCUUCUUUCAAAAUCAAUGUCAAAGUUCCAUCUUGGCCAUUCUUGGAGGUCUUUGAGCAGUGGCUUGAAUUCUAGUCUUUAGGCCUUUACUUAAUUAACCCAAACCGUUAAAGGGACCUAAACACAAAGGUUCUUUCAUAAUGUAGAUAUGGAGAAGACUUUUGGGAUACUACUAUGGGAUUUAAUAUUUGCCACGUUUGGGUGCUGCAACUACUGUAACCUCCUGCAUCAUAGUAAAAUCUCUUUCACCUUCGACCGUGGAUGUAGGUUAUUAAGCCGAACCACGUAAUUUUUCGUGUGUUUUAUUAUGUUAGAUUGUUUGCUUGUUAUUUAUCAUAAAAUUUGGUUCCACAUCUAUAUUUUUUACUAUGUUAUUCAUCAAAGGUAUUGCUUUUUUGACAAGAUAAUGUUAAAGAGUUGUCUUAAAAUCUCUUCAAUCCACCAACAAUGAAUAUAGGUUCAGAUAAAUCACGUAAAUUUUUUAUGUUUUUAUUAUACGUGAUUGUUUAUUUUGUUAUUUACUAUCAAAUUUGGGUUGCUUCGUUCACUAUGACAUUGUAAAAGGCAUUGGUUUAUCCCAAAAUGUAUUAAGUGAAGCUAUCAUAAAUGUUUCAAUUUUAAUUGAUUAAGAAAAGUUAUAAGUUUGAAGUUUCUCAUUUCCAAAAUGGAUUAAUUUUUUGAUAAAUGUCACUACAACUUUGUAAUUGGUAUUAAUUAAAAAUAUUUCCUACCUAAAAUUUGCCAUUAAUUAUAAAUGUUUUGUUUUAAUAAAACACAAAAAGUAAAUAAUCCUCAAUCAUACUUUAUAUUAUAUAACUCGACAUAAGCCAAGGAUCCAUAAAUAUAAUUUUAUAUAAACAGUAAUUUAAUUGUCACUGCAAUAAAAACAUAUAGAAACAGUAAUUCAUCCCUUCAAACGUAUGGUGGUGAAUGCCUUGCUGUCCAACUACUAUAAAGUAAAAGUAGUGGAGUAAUGGAGAUGGAGAUUCCAUAAUAAAGUGUGUUAUCCCCAGAUUUUCUUUUUUAUAAUUUUUUUGAGCUUAGCUUUUCUAAAUGCUGAUGAUCAUUUUUUUAAAGUGGAUUUUUCUCCUUGAAAUGAUGGAUUUAAUUACUUGUUUCCUCCUAAUAAUCACCUCUGAAUAGUAGCUAAAUUUUAUAAUGUAAUUAAUGAUAGUUAUACCGUACCUUUAAUCAAAACGAGAGUGGUGCCCGUAACUACGCUAUGAAAAAGCUUACAGGAAAUAUAAAUUAUGUUAGAAUGGACUUCAAUUUAGUAUCUUCAAAAGAGUUUAUAGAAAAAGCUAUAUUAUAUUAGUCAAUUAUAUAAAUGUAUGGUUUUUGCUGGUAGAAGAAAAGAUAAACCGAUAUUAAUUGAAGAUAAUUAUUUACUUUGGUUUCAAUCACUAAAAGUUGCUCCUAAAUAUAUGGUUUUAAAACAGUACUUAACCAAAGAAGAUAAUAAUCCUAUCAAACAUCCAAUAUUUUUUUCCAUUAAAAAUAUAUUGUUUAAACAAAAUGAAUAGCAUUUGUGAGUUGAAGGUUUUCAUUUUUGUUAGAUGAUAUAUAUCAACUUUCUAGAUACAGGACUUGCACUUUGUUACAUGUUAAGGGAAUAUAAAUUGUUAUACAAUUAUCAUAUAUGUUUAACUAUGGUGACAAUUUGCUCUUCCUUUUGCCGUAUACAUUUGUUUCCAUUUCUUUGAUUUCUGUUGUUGUAUUAUAUUGUAUAAAUUGCAUGGUAGAGGAAAAUAUAAACUAUAAUUAAUUAAAAAUAGUUAUUUGCUUUGGUUUCAAUUACCGAAAACCUGCACUUACAUAUAUAGUUAUAAAACAGUACUUAUCCAAAGAAGACAAUAAUUCUAUCAAAAAUUAUUAAAUGUAUAAUUAAAUAUUAAGAAAUGAGAGAGUAUAUAACCUUCACUAUUGGCAUAUUAAGAUAAAUAGUUGUAGAAUAUAUGACAACACUAUAAUGUAAAAAUCUUAUCAAUAUAAAAUAGUUACUAAAUUCUGGUAGUAUCUAUUUUUUAUAUCUAAAAUAAAUGGUUAAAGGUUAUCAAAUUCAAUUGAUUUAUUUAUUCAAUGAUGACCGUGUGCUAUGUAUAUUGAGAAAUGAGUAGACCUUCUUGGUUUUUAUGUUUUGUUCAAUGGAUUUGAUGGAUAUUUAUUGAAAUUUAAACAUUAAUGUACAAAAGAAAUGUCUAAAUACUAUAGAUUUUCAUUCAUGCAGAAUAAGAGAAUAUAAACAAAAAAUAAUAUUAAAUUGCAAUUGAUAAAUAUUAAAUGAAUCUAUCCUCUAAGCAUUAAAAGUUAAAAAUUAUUGUUUUCAAGUAUUUCUACUAAAAUAAAUAAAAGUAAAAAAAAAAAAACCUUUCAAAUGUAAAAAAUAAUGUAGUUUUGACAUAAAGUAUACAAAAAAAAAUUAAUUCAAUUGAGAAUGAUAGGUGUCAAUCAAUUGACUCAAUCAGAUAUCCUACUUAAAAUAGUACUUAUUUAAAGAAGACAAUAAUCAUAUCAAAGAUUGUUAGAUGCAUAAUAAAAUAUUAAGAAAUGAAAGAAUAUAUAACCUAUAUUAUUAGUAGAUUAAGAUAAACCGUUGUAGAAUAUAGAACAACAGUAUAAUGUAAAAAUCCUUUCAAUAUAAAAUAAUUACUAAUUUCUAAUAGUAUCUAUCUUUUAUAUAUAAAAUGAAUGGCUAAAGGUUGUUAAAUUCAAUUGAUUUGUUUAUUAAAUGAUAACUAUGUGCUAUGUAUAUUUAGAAAUGAAUAGACCUUGACUUUUUUAUUUUGUUUAAUGGAUUGAAUGGAUAUUUAUUUGAAUUUAAACAUUCAUGUAUAAAAGAGAUAUGUAAAUACUCUGGAUUCAGGUUUAUACAAAAUAAGAGAAUAUAAAAAAAAUAAUAUUAAAUUACAAUUGAUAAAUAAUAAAUGAAUCUAUCCGCUAAACAUUAGAAGUUUAAAAUUACUUUUUUCUAGUAUUUUUUACUGAAAUAAAUAAAAAAAACUUUUCAAAUGUCAAAAAAAGAGUAGUUUUGACAUAAGGUGUGCAAAAAAAAAAUUAGUUCAAUUAAGAAUGACAGGUGUCAACCAAUUGAUCCAAUUAGUUACCUUACUUUUAUAUAUAUUAUAGAUAUAUAACAUGUUCUAAUAAUUUAAGGUUUUGGAGUCUGAGAUAUUAAUAUUACUUGUUAAAUACAGUAAUUCUUUUUUAGAAAAAAAAGAAAAGAAAGAAAAGAUGAGGCCAAUAGUUCCAUAAGGCCAAUAAUUCCUUUUUUUUUCUUCCUGCAUUUGGAUGAUUCAUAUUUUGUUCUACGCAUGUAAUCCAAGUCGGUAAAAUGAUUCGCCUAUAUAGAAGUGGAUUUAAUCCAAACUCUGCUACUUCUUGCUAAUUAAGUGGACUAACAAUAUUGAUUUUUUUUCUUUGAAUUGCCCUUUUGUAAGUUAAAUAUUACUAAUAGUUGUGUGAAAUGACUGUGAAAUCUCACCAAAACUUGAUGUCAAAACUCUGUCAAUAUUUCACAGCAAUUGGAAACUUUUUCCUUGUUUUAAUCUCCCAUUCUUCAAUUACAAUCUUCAAUUUUAAGCAUUUAGGAUCUCACUUGCUCUAGAUGGAACCCUUGACAGAUAGCAUACUUUGUAGUCGAAGCAUAAAAUUUUAUACUCUUGUACAUAUCUCCAUUCAAUACUCUUGAGCUGAAAGCUAGUAAUAAUAGAAAAUAAAGUAAAAAGUCUGCCCGUACACUCCUGGUGAUUUUUUUUUCUCAGCCAAAAGCGAAAGGAUAUAUUAAUGAUUGAUAAAUGUACAAAAUGGUGAGCAAAGAGACGGCUCAAAGCAGCAACAAAACAAAAAAAGCUGUAACAAAAUAGCUGGAGAACAGAAUAGACUCAGGGCAAAUAAAGAUGAAACAUGAAUUCAAAAAGUGACGAGAGAGGGCAGAAAAAUGCUGGUAGGAUCUCAAGCAUCAGUCUGCGAUCAAGCAGCAGUGACAUACAGUGCAUAACAGAGCAGUAUUACUACAUAGCACACGGGCAAAGGAGGAGAUUAAAGAGACGAGGAGAAAUUGCUGUAGGUAAAAUUUCCUCCCCUUCUUCUCAAAGUAUAACUAUUGCCAUGAUGAAUGUAGACUUUUGAGAUACUGUUCUAGGAUUUACUAUUUGCUACAUUUGGGUGCUACAACUACUGUAACCUCAUCUUCCUACAUUGUAGUAAAAUCUCUUCUACUCUUUAUAUCUAUGGAUGUAAGUAAUUAAGUCGAACGACGUAAAUUUUUGUGUAUUUGAUUAUGUUGAAUUGUUGGCUUGCUAGUUAACAUCAAAUUUGGUUUUCUUUAGUAUUUUAUAGUUUUUACUUGGUUAUUUGUCAAAGGUAUAACUAUUAGGUAGAACCUAUUUUCAUAUUUUAGCUAACAAAUAUUCUAAAAAAAACUUAUCAAAUUUACCAUAUUAAAUAAUAUUUUCAAUCAAUAUGUUGAAAAUCUUAUAUUGAAAUAGUAUCUUGACAAGUAUUUUUAAGACAAUAGUUAAUAAAAUAUAUUUUAUACUUAUUUAUUUGGAAGAUACAACUCUAAUUGUUAGUAUUUCAACCCUGACUCACUGCAAAAUUUUGGCACUUUCACUCAAUGUUUUCCAGUCGCUAGAUUUGCAAGUCUAAGAUUAAUUAUGAACACACACCUUUGCAUUUUGCAUUGCACAUUCCUACCAAAAUUAUGAAGUACCAUAAUUUGAGGGUUUUGUUAGACUGGAUACCCAAUCUCAUCACUUCCCUCAUAGGUCUUCACAUUUGCGAGUGCCUUGAAUUACCGGACUUGCAAGAAGGGAUGCAUAGCCUUACCUCUUUAAAAUGGUUGUUGAUUUACAAUUGCACUAAACUAAGUUCUUCGGGAUUGGGUUAUGUCACUUCUAAUUCAUGUGCGCCAUGAUUUGCAUUCCUUGCAACUAAUGCAAUGGAUGGACAUCAUACCUAGUUUCACUUCUCUCAAAACACUUAAGAUUUGUAAGUGCCCUGAAUUACAAGACUUGCAAGGGAUGGAUCAUCUUACCUCUUUACAAGUAUUGUCAAUCAAUGAAUGUCCCCAAUUGUUGGAAAUAUGUCAAAAGCAGACCCGAAUCCUUUGGCCUCACAUCGCUCACAUCCCAUCUAUUAUAAUUGACGGGCAAUAGGGUCAAUGGUGAUCAUACAAUGUAGGUAACUAUAUUUUUCUUCACCUCUAUUAUAUUUUCUCCCUUUACCUGAUAAUUCUUUUUUUUUCUUUUUUUCCUGAAUUUGGGUUUGGACUAAUAAUAUUGAUAUUUUUUUCUUUUCAUACUUUGAAUUUUUAAAUAUUAAUAAAUAUUUAAACUGCCAGCAUAACUUGAUGUCAAGGCUCUGCCAGUAUUUAACAGCAAUUGGGAACUCUUUCCUUGUUUCAAUCUCACAUUCUUCAUUUAUAAUCUUAAGUCUUAAGCAUUUUGGAUCUUACUAGCUCUAUAUGGAACCCUUAUACAGAUAGCAUACUUAUAGUAGUCAAAGCAUUAAAUUCUAUACUCUUAUACAGACAAUAUUUUUAGAAAAAAAAUACAGUAGUAUAAAUGUAGCUAAGUAAUCAAAUUAUUCUGUUUCUCACCUUUCGAUAUCAAUUCCUAACAAUCUUUUAGAUGUUUCCUCUCACCUUUUUCAGUACUGUUAAUCUGUGUCUGGAGGAGAUUGAUGCAACUCAGAUAUUCUUAAUAGUUAAACUUCUUCUAUUUAACAUAUGCAAAAAAUGGAGUUCAUGAACAAAUUAUUGUAAGUAGUUUCACUUCCCCCGUUUUUAUAUGUUUGUGUUUUUCAUUGAAAAUUACCGUUUUUAUAACUUUGGAUGUUCUUGCCAUACCCUUUCAGAAGCAAAACCAGAAUUAAAUGGACAAGGAUCAUGAGACAAAUUACUUCUAUCACAGAGAUUCGAAGUAACUGAAACACUGGUGAAAUGAACUGAGAUGUGAGAGUGAGAAUCGUUCUUCUUUUUACAGAUUUAUAUAUAUAUCUUCUUUUUUGUCUAUCUUCUCUUCAAGGAAAUGACUAAUAUUAUAACCUCUUCCUUUCAUCAAGCAGACGGAAUGAAGUAUUAACCAAUAUUGUUUUUUCCCAAGUAUCCCUGAGGAUUUGCAACUACAAGUUUGUUGGGAAACCCCUUUGCUUCUUUCAAAAUCAAUAAUGCUUCCAUGUUGGCCAUUCUUGGAGGUCUGUGUGCAUUGGCUUCAAUCCUAGUCUUUAGACUUUCACUACAAUAACGCAAACUGCUAAGGGGACCUAAAAACAAAGGUUCUUUCAUAGUGUACAUGGGGAAUACCUUUGGGAUACUGUUCCGAGAUUUCCUUUGGCUACAUUUGGGUGCUGCAACUACUGCAACCUCAUCUUCCCACAUGGUAAUAAAAUCCUUCUACUCUUAUGUCCAUGGAUGUAGGCAAUUAAGCUGAACCACGUAAAUUCUUGUGAGUUUUAUUAUGCUGGAUUAAUUGUUUGCUUGCUUUUUGUCAUCAAAUUUAAUUUGCUUUGGUAUUUAUAUUUUUCAGUAGGUUGUUUGUCAAAGGUAUAGUAUAACCCAUUUUCAUAUUCCAGCUAACAAAGUAGUCUAAAAUAAUUUAUCAAACUUUUUUUUUUGCAGCAAUUUUAUCAAACUUAUCUUAUUAAGUAAUAUGUUCAAUCAAUAUAUCGAAAAUCUUAUAUUAAAAUAAUAUCUUAACAAGUGUUCUUAAGACACUCGAUAAUAAAAUAUUUCAUUUGGAAGAUGAAACUCUAAUUGUUAGUAUUUCAACCUUGACUCAAUCCAAACCUUGGGCACUUUCACUCAUUGUCUUCCACUAGCUAGAUUUCACUCAUUGAAUUUUUGUAUUAUUACUUUUAUUGCUAUUCAAUUCAUGUAAGCAAGCUUUCAACUGUAUUUUGGACUAGAAGGAGACAUGAAGUAUAAAGGCCUACUUUUUCUCAAGAAGCUUCUCUAACAACUCCGGUAUCACUUCAAAAAUAUCUCCCUCAAUAAAUUGAACCAUCAAGAUGAAGCAAAAUAUAAUUGUACAUGUUCCUUUUGCAUUAAGACUUAUUUUGUAUUGAAUUCUCAGUUUUUGUUUUUUUUUUCCCUUGGAUUCUAAGUUUUCAAACAGUGCAGAAAGUGCCAUGCAUGAAGAUUAUUAGAAAGAAAAAUCAAACAAUGCCUCCAAGUGUAGAUUGUAAAGCUAGAAUCUUUCAGACUUAAAACCUACACUUGCCUUGAGUUCCCUGGUCUGUGUUUGAACCCACAGAAGAAGCUGCAGAGUUUCAUGUCUUCCAUUUUUUGCUGAAAGCAUAUGGCUGAGAAUAUAAUGUUCAAAGAAAUUAAAUUCACAUUGGUCUAUUUGUUUCCUAGCAGGCUCCUUUAGAUAAGAUCUCUUUGGUGGUCAAUAAAGUAUAGCAGGAUGAAAGUUAUUGGAAAAGAGUUAAUAUGAAAACAAGAAUCUAAUCAGUCAUAAAAUUAAUAAAAACUCUGUUCCUAAAAUUAAAAAUCAAAAUUUGGGGAAUACUACUAGAAUUCCAUUUUCCACUAGUUUUUAUUUGAGUUCAACAAUAUAAAUAUAUUUUCUCUGCUUUGUUAAUUAACUACUUUUCCUUACUUUUGUUUGAUCUCUUAAAUUACUUUUGUUUGAUCCUUGUUAGCUACUUUUCCUUUCCUUAAAUUGAGAUAAGCUUCAAUAAAACAUAUUAUAUUCUCCAUAUAUAAUUUUUUUAUAUGCUCAAUUUGUAUUAACAUUUAUGAAUUUGACUUCUUAUUUGUUAAGAUGGCAAAUAAAAUUAAUUAAUUUGUACUUUACUUCUUUCUCAAGUUGGGAGUCAUAAAGAAGUUUUUCAGGUUCACAGUGAGUAUUCUUUCUCAAGUAUAAAGAAAUUCCACCUGGAGGAUUUAUCUAAAGUGCGGAUUAUAUGGAAGGAUGUCACCCAAGUUGUAACUCUUGAAAACUUUACAAUUCCGAAAGUGAUAGAUUGCAUGAGGUUAAUUCAUACAUUUUCACUUAUGACUGCUCGAAGUUUAUCAUAGUUGGUCUCGCUAAUUAUAAAAAAAAUGUGAUGCAUUGGACCAAAUCAUUACUGAGGAUCAACUUUGUUCAUCAUCAAAUGGUGAUCUCCAACCUAUAAGGUUUCCUAAUUUGACCAGAAUUUUAGUUUAAUAUUGCAAAGAGUUGAAAGUCUCUUUCUUCUUGGAUCUGCUUAUUGUCUUCCAAAACAUGAAUAUUUAACAGAUGAAGGGAACUCUAAAUUGGAGCAAGUAUUUGAACUAGAAGAUGAAGCAAAAGCGAUAGCUGAAAAGGAGAUAAAGUUUGAUCAAUUAAAAUGGUUAUCACUUGAAGAACUGUCAGGCCUCAUUGACUUAUGCCCAAGGGGAUAUCGCUUUGUAUAAUCGGCUUUGUGGUCUUUAACAGCAAAAGAAUGUCCCAAGAUGACUACAGGUUUCUUCAUUGAUUCAAAGAGAUAUGUGCACGCCAAAACAGAGGUGUACACCCUGAAAACUUUAAUCCUAUCUAUUUUUUUAUUUGGUAUUUAUUAUUGAUUAGUGAAUUAAGUACAAGCUUUUAUUUGGUAUGUGUAAAGGCAAUUCGAGUCUUUAAUGAUAUUAUAGGCAUAAUCUUCAAAAUCUUUACUUAAAUUAAUUAAAUGAUUGAGUAGUACACUGCAAUCAAAAAGUUGGUCUAGAAUAUCACUUUUAGUGAAUGAUUCCAUCACCUUUUAUGAAUUUUUGACCUAAAAUUGCUUAUAAAUUGUAAUAUGCCUUUUUCUUCUUUUGUCCUCAUAACAUGAGACAUCAAUGCUUUUGUUUUACAUUUCACUGCUUCAAUUUUUUCAAAAGACACUGCAAUUGGUUGAGCAAGUUGUCACUAAGGGUCUACCACUGCUCAGAAUGUAGUUCACACUAAGUCCAAUAUUUACUUAAAGAAAAAACAGGAGGUUUGAUAUAUGUGCUCUUCCCUGGUGAAGGUGUUUGCUUAAUGAGUUGUCAAGCGAAGGGAUCCCAUGCUUUGAAUAAUUUACCCAAUCAAUGUUAUGUUGCUGCUCUCUGUGUUUACAAUAAGUAGAAGAACAAGAGUGAAAUUCCUCUGUUUUUUAUCCUUAUGUUUGUAUUUUAAAAUAUUUAGUGAGUAAGUUGUGCAAGUAUGUUAUGCAGCAAUCAAUACAUGGGAUAUUAAACCUUAAUUUCCAUGUACAAACCAGGCAGAUUUUUAUUUUGUAAAGGUUCCAAGUGAUUUAUCGAAAUAUUGAGAGUUUGAUUUAUUGAAAUAUUGAGGUAUAAUUAUUUUUUUUAAAUAAUAACAGUCUACCAUUUGACUCAAUAAUGGUUGCCUGUUUUUCCCUAGCCUCAUAACAAGAAAAUAUAAAAAAAACUGAUAAUAGAUUUACUUUAUGGCACUUGUGGAUAAGGUGGACGAAACAGAGGAUAAUGUUGUUACAUAAUUACUGAACAAAUGAGGAUAAUGUGAAAUUUAACAGCUGGUUUGUUUGAGUGAAAUUGAACUAGUCUAAGAAAACAUGGUUUUUCUGUGUGUUAAGUUGAUUUGCAGUUAGUUGGGGUUGGGAUUAUUGAAAGAAUCAAUUUAGUGUUGGUUACUGGUUACGGAUAUAAAAUGAAAGUAUUCUCAUUUCUGAAAUUUGCUAGCUACUGCUGCUGCUACAUGUUAGCAACAUACAAGUAUUCUCAUUUCUUUCCUUCAUCUUUCAUCUACUUUAAUUGUUCUUGGGUGGUUCAUUCUCAUUACUACUCCAAGGCCAUCACCUCAAAGACUAUGUGAUAAAAGUUGGAAGGAGCAUCAACUAUAAUAAUGGUAAAAGGCUUUGGCCCCUGUUUUUAAUGAUAUUUUCUUUUGGUUUUUAAUUAUUUGAUUUCCAUCAAGUUGGCUAACAAUCAAUUAAUUAACCAAGUAAAUGCCUUCGUUAUAUUUUACUCAUGUAUAUGGCUGAGAUUAGGCUACUACUUCGUAGACAAAGUGUCAAAUGAAAUCAAAUUUAAUAUAAAAGGAGAUUGCAUUUCCAUAGACAAAAAGUGAACCAUGACUUAGGCCAGGAAUUGUACUGCUAGCUGCUUUGUCCCUUGCAUACUUUCUUUCAAGCGAGCUGCUGAUUUUUCAUAAGGAAAAAAGAGUAACUACUUGAAGAAAGGAAGGUUUAUUAAGGGGAUAAUGAUGUUCUUCAUCUGCUGAGCUUUUGUUUCAUACGGAAGUUGUCGAAUUAAAGAAAGGGCCAACAUAUAACUUUACUUGUGAAUUUCUUAUGAUAACAAUGUUUUGGACGAGUCAAAUAUAUACAAAAAGAAUUAGCCCCAUUAGUUCAAGGUUUACGAUAAGUGCUUCUUUUUCUUGAAAAAGAAAAAAGAUUACUGAUCUCAUUGGUUCAACGUUUUACAAAACCAUAUAGAGAUUUCCAGUGUUUCUCAUACUCUUUUUCACAUCUCUACAAUUCUGUGAAACUUUUACAAAAAUUUCGGAUUUCAAAAAAAUUAUCUCUUACAUAAGAUCAUAUAAAGAUUGCAUCUCUAUCUUAAUUUUAAAAGUUAAGACCCAUUCCAUAUCUAUAAAACCAUAUUACUUUGUCACUAUGAAUUCCAACCCAUUAAAAACUCUUAAUCAUUAAGUAUAUUUGCCCAUUAAAUAAACUUAAUCAUCAAAUAAUUUUUGACUAAUGAAAUUUUACUGAUUGCAAAUUAAAAUUUGAAUAAAAUAUCUAACACAUUCACAUGCAAUUGUCCCUAGCAGUAAACAAAAAUCCUCAAAUCUGUAAACAUUAUAUAAUAAUGUUGAUAGCACAUGCUGGUCAAAGAGCUUUUAGCUCGAGGGAGCAAUAAACAUUGGAGUCUCGAGCACCACCCACAACCAAGGAAGGAAAAAACAAGGGGGACAGACCAACUAUUGAAAAGCCAACUGAAAAACAAUAAACAAAACAAAUUAGCUUUCUCAAUGUAUAGCAUUAGCUUUCGCAUAUCAAAGAAAAGAGAAUCUUACAUGGAUAGUGUGAGUCAAGUUGCUAAUAUUGUUCCAUUGUUCGUAAUAUGAAUAUUAGUGUUCCAAAUUUCCUACACCUACUCUUACUACUUUGUCUUCAUAGAGUUUCUGAAGGGAUCUCUUGCUGUCAAUAGUUUAGCCAACUAAUGUUAUGUUGCUUUCUAUUGCACUUUUAUUGUACAAUAAUUAAAAGAACAAGAGUGAAAUUCCUCUGUACCUUAAUUUUUAAUUUUGUAUUUUAAAUCCUCAGUGAAUAAGUUGUGCAAAUGUGUUAUGCUGGAAUAAAGAUAUGGAAAAUUAAACUUUAAUGUACAAACCACACAAAUUUUUAUUUUAUGAAGGUUCCCAACUAUUUAUUGAAAUAUUGAGAGUUUGAUUGCUACUCCAACUAUAAGAUCUAUAAACUUAACAAUAGCAUCAUUUUCUUUCCAUGCACAUUUGAUUUGCAAGCAUUACCAAACAAGCUUCCCAAGCAUGCAUGAAUGACAUCGAUCUUCUUAGAAUCUCUCAUUCGAUAAACAAAAUACUAUAAUCUGAACUGAAACUUUCUUUUUUAUUCUCUUUCGUUGAUCAAGCUGAAGCGAAUUUGAAUAGCACAUUCUUUUUUAUAUCGACCCUUUAAAUAAACUUAACCAUCUAAUAAUUUUUAACCAAUAAAAUUUUAGCAAUGUUCAGUUAAAAUUUGGAUAAAAUAACUAUCACAUUCACAUGCAAUUGUCCCUAGUAAACAAAUAUCCUCAUAUCUAUAAAAAUUAUAUGCAAUGUUGAUAGCACAUGCUGGCCACAGUGCUUUUAGAGGGAGCAUUUAACUUUUGUCUCAAGCACCACCCACAUCCAAGGAAGAAAACCGUAAAUAAAACAAACUUUCUCAACGUAUAGCAUUGGCUUUCGCAUUUUAGCUGGAUUAUCAAAGAAAAGAGACUCUUAAAUGGGAACUGUGAGCCAAGUUACCACUAUUUUUCCAUUGAUCCUAAUUUGAAUAUUAGUGUUCCAAAUUUCCUGUACCUACUCUUACUACAUUGUCGUCAUAGAGUUUCUGAAGGGAUCUCAUGCUUCCAAUAGUUUAGCCAAUUAAUGUUAUGUUGCUCUACCCCAACCGAAUUUGCUUAUGUUAUGGGAGUCUAUUGCGAUCUAAGCAAGAGACUCCAACUGACAUUAUGAUUGUGAGGUUAAUAAAUUUUCUUUUCAAAAAAAAAAAUUAUGUUACUCUCUAUUACAAGUAAUGCUUAAUUGCAAAAGAAUCAUAAUUAAAUGAGGAUCCAGUGUUUAUUCUUAAGAACAUUUACAAAAUAAUAAUAGUAAUUUUUACUAACAAAGAGAGUCAAAUGUUUUCUUAUAAACCAAUCAAGUAGAUGAUAAAUAAAUGCUGAAAAUAAUUGAAAAAAUGACAAAAAGAAAGGGAUCAAUAAUUCAAAAGUGCAUCAAUGAUUCCAUGUCCCAUUUGCAUAGAGUACAAAGAAAAAAUUAAAGGUGUGAAUUUAAUUACCUUUCGAAUAAUGGUAAUUUUUUUUAGGGAAAAUUUGUACUUAUUAUGUUUAAGAUAUCAAACAUGAAGCCAAUUUUACAUUAGUUAAAAUUUCCUUUAGUAAAAUAUUUUCAUCUUUUUUUUUUCUUUGAGAGAGAAUUAGUUGAUAAUGAUUCUUCAAUGACAUUAAACUCUUCACUAAUGGAGACAGCAAUAUUGUAUUCAAUUCAAACAUGAAUCAGAAAACUUUGGAAAAGCUCGGAGAAUUUCCCUUUUACUUUACUAAAGUUGGUUUCCACAUUAAACUUAAUUCUUUGAAGGCAAGAACCAAGAAAAGUCCUACUUCCACAUUGAUGUUUCUUUGUUAACUUUAAAAAGGAGACAUUUUUUUGUCAUCACAAGGAAAAAACAAAUGACGGCACUUUCUCCAACAUUUUUUAGCUUAGUUUUUCCAAUGCUGGUGUUUUUUUAAUUGAAAUUUCUCCUUGAGAAUACCAAGUCCUUGCUGCAACUUUUCUCGAAAAAGAAAAUAAAAUGAUUCCAUGUCCAGUAGCAAAAGCUUUACUUGGGGUUUCGGAUUAUUGAAAGAAGCAAUUUAGUGUUGGUCGCUGGUUUGAUGAGAUGGAAUAUUGCAUUACAAAAGGAAAACAAACUGUCUGAUUAAACAACAGGAAAGUGCUGCCUAGAUUUGAUAGAAUUUAGAAUCAAAAGUAGUGGAAAACAAGAGGCAUUUCAGGUCAAGGGUCUUCCAUUUUUCAACUAAAACCCAAGAACGUAGGAAGAAUAUAUUUGACUUAUUUGAGUCCUAAAAGGGUCUUGCUCAAAUUUAAGUUAAUUUGGAGAAGUUUUUGAAGUUAAGUAAUAAUUGGAUGGAAACAACUUAAAGCGGUCACUCAAUGUGAAUAAAGCUUAUUUAAAAUUAAUGAAGAAAUCAACUACGAAGGAAAUCACUACAUCGAGUUGACUAACAAUCAAUUCACCAAGUAAAUGGCCUUGUUUUAUUUCACUUAUCAUGCAUAUGGGUGAGAUUAGGCUACUACUUGUUAAAGAAAGUGUUGAAUGAAAUCAAUUGAUUAUUAAUCUAUUUAUUCGUAAAAAGAUAAUGCAUUUCCAUAGACAAAAAGCGAACCAUGCUUCACGCCUGGAAGGAAAAAGAGUAAGUAAUUGACGAAAUGAGGAUAAAACAUAGAAAAGCUUCACUGUCCCACAUCUAGAAAACCUUCUCUUAUUACUUUCUCGUCAUAGAGUUUUCAUUUGAGCAUCUUCUUCUAUCAUCUCCACAUCUACGAGCUACACUGUCCCAAGAAUUUGUAUGAUUUCUGCAUUCUCUUCUUUUAACUCGACAAAACCUAUUCUUCCACUUUAUUUUCCUUCACUUUCCCACUUUUCUUUCAACUCAAAGAACAAAAGUAUCUCUGUAGUGUGUUGUUUAACUCUGCAAAAAAAAAAAAAAAACAAAACAAAACAGUUGAUCUCUUGAAUUACUUUUGCUUGAUCCUUGUUAGCUACUUUUCCUUUUCUUAAUUUUGGUUUCCCAAUCUCCGGAGUUGGUGAAGUAAUUCCAUUACAAUUGAGGUAAGCUUCUGUUAAACAUAUUAUAUUCUCCAUAUUUAAUUUUUUUAUGGGCUCAAUUUCUCUUAUCAUUCAUGAAUUUGACUUCUUAUUUUUGUAGUUUGCAAGUAAAAUUAAGUAAUUUGUACUUUUCUUCUUUACUUCAUAAUCCUAUGAUAUUUAGUAAUAUACUUUGUGCAGCAUUUUAGCAUGAAAUAGUUUUAAUAUUAUGACUUUAAAAUAUGGAAAAUAUAUCAAUAAACCUAUGCUGAAAUUUCAUUCUAAAUUUUUUACUUUAUUAUAAAUUUUCAUAUUUUUUCCAUUUUUUACCGACGUUUAUGGAUAUUUUGGAAAAUAUUUUAUGGAAUAAUGAUACUAUGCUUUUACUUUAAUAUGAAAAUAUAUUUUUAAUUGAUAUACACAUGACCAGUGACAAGAAUUUCUACAACUGAAGCAUUUUUAAUUUCCAAGUUGGUCCGUAAACAAUUGGUUCCCUUGUGAUCCACAUUUUCAUAAAGGUAAGGUACUUUGCAAACAUUUGGUAAUUGUUUUUGUCUCUCUGUAAAACUUUUUACUCAUUAAAAUUAAAACUAGGUAGAUUUUUAUUUUGUGAAAGUGCCAAGUGAUCAUUAAAACAUUUGUCAAUUUAAACAUACCCAAUUAUGAUUAAUGGUGUUCAAUCAGUUUGAUUAAAGUUUUAGUUCAAUAAGUUAUGGAUAUAUUUAGAUUCAAUUUAGCUUAUUGAUGGAUAAGUGAGGGUAACAGAACAUUUAACCCAGUUAAUUUUUUUAUUUAUUAAUUUAGAUCACAUCUUUUAAUUUAUUUUGAUCCAAUUAGAUUCUCCUUUUGAUCUACUUGUCUCUAUCUUUGGGUCUUAAUAAUUUACACAAUUGAAUUUUCAUUUUUUUUUAUGGUUGCAAUUGCACCUUUUAUUUUUUGGUAAAAAAGGGAUAGUGCGAACCGUGACUUCAGGUGUCUUGGGCAUAACCUCAAGCCACCCCUAUAUUCCCACUUGAAAGACAGAGGAAAAAACAAAGCUUAGAAAUGGAAGAAUCAUUUCCCAUGACCGGUGGAGAUGGCCCCAACAGUUAUGCAAAGAAUUCCAAACGUCAGGUACUUCUUUAGUUACCCUGUAUAUCCUUAUUUGUUGUAAAUCCUUACUUGGCCACCUCUUAUAAGUUUUACAAACUUUUCAUUUGAUCCUUAACUACUUUAUUUAUUUUUAUAUAUAUAAAUUUUUUGAGCACAUUUCUAAUUACCCAUUACAUAAGUAUACACUACGAAAAAUUCAAUAAGCUAUUUUUAUUAGUUUUAAUUUUGGAAAUGGUGGAAAUGAAAUCUUAAUUUCUUUUGGUUUUUGGCAUGAUUGUUCUUUACUUUGGCUAUCUAGAACAAAAUUAAAUAUUAUAAAACACUAAUUUCUAUGCAAAUAAGUUUUAAUUCAAUUUAUUUAUUUUAAAAAUAUAAGCAUAAAAGUGAAAUAAAGAUAAUAAAUUUUAAUAUAAACUAUACCAAAAUAUUUUUUUAUUUAAUAAAAAAUUUAAAAAUUUUAGUAUAAAAUAUAAAUUUUCUUUUUUAAAUUCCGUGAAAGUGAAAUAGAAAUAAUAAAAAUUGGACAAAAAGAGUAUUAUCAUCAGUUUUGAAACUUGUAUUCUUUUAAAUAUGUAUAUCUGUGUUCAAUGAAUGUUCUCUUUAAUUCAAAUUAGUAAAUGACAAACAAAGAGAAUUAUAAUUGUCUGAAAUUGUACAAGAGACAAUCUUAUUUUCUUUAGCUCCUCAGGUUUGGAGUCGAUUACAUUGUUUUUAGUCUGUUGAUUACCUCAAAAUUUUGGGAGUGUCAAUCCUCAUUGGUUAGCAACAGUGUUGAAAGAAUUAGACCAGAUUGACCAAUCAGACUGGUUGAACCAGUAGUUUACCUGGUCUGAUUAGAGGGCUCAAACUGCUAAAACUUCAGUUUCUAUCUUCAAAAGUUCUUGUCUUACCUUGAUUGUUAAUUAAAAACUCUAAUCAUUUAGUAACAUGUCAUUUUUUUUUUCAUAUUUAACAUACAUUUAAUGUUAAAAUUCUAUUUUUUUUUUUUAAAAAAAAAAAGUUGUANUUUCAUUUAUUUUUUUUUUUUUUUAAAAAAAGGGGGUUGGAUUGAACUGGCUAAAUCAAUUGAAAUAAGAAUCAAUGGCACCAUUGGUGUAAUUCUCGAUCUGAGUUUUUAAACAUUGGUUAGAAAUAUUUGGCCUGUAAUUAGCAUUGUAAUUAAUAUAAUACAAAAUUAUAGUACCGAAUUGUUGAUUUUAAUUUGUGGGAAUUAGAAAACAUGUAUGAUGUGACUUUUUCUUUAUUGUGCAACUCCUUUGAUAUACAUUAUUAUAAGAUAAUCUCUUCUCAUAUCUAGUAAAUCUCCUCUUAAUUUGUAAUAUCUGAUUUCAAAAUUUUUAAGUUGAAAUUUUUUUUAUUAAAAUGUCUUUCGAGAGGCUAAACAUGUAAUAUGAUAUUGUCAAAAUGGAUUAUUUUGGGAACCUAGCUAACUCCUUUCAAUUUUUUUUUCUUUUCAUAUUCUUCUUAAAUUUAGAAAGGAGCAGCAGAUAAGGCGAAAUCAGUAUUAGUUGAAGCAAUUAUUGAAAAGCUUGAAGUAGAAGAUACACCUUCCAUUGCAAGCACAUUUCGAAUUGCCGAUUUAGGCUGUUCAACGGGACCUAACACAUUCUUUUCCGUGAAUACAAUUAUAGAAGCCGUAACCCACAAGUACAAAACCAAAGGGCAUACUAGCCUGCCUGACUUCCAAGUACACUUCAAUGAUCAUGUUUCCAAUGAUUUCAACAUGCUUUUUAACAGUCUUCCUCCAGGCCGUCAGUACUUUGUAUCGGGAGUUCCAGGUUCCUUUCAUAGCAGAUUGUUUCCAAAAGCAAGUCUCCAUUUUGUCUACUCUGCCUAUGCUCUUCAAUGGCUUUCAAGGGUACCGCAGGAGUUAAGUGACAUUAAUUCACCUGCAUAUAAUCGUGGGAGGAUAUUUUAUUCAAAUGCACCAAACGAAGUUGGCAAGGCUUAUACAGCUCAGUAUGUAAUGGACAUGGAGCGUUUCUUAGCUGCUCGAGCAAAAGAGAUAGUCCCUGGAGGAUUAAUGGCCCUUCUGAUUCCAGGACGCCCAGAUGGGACACUUCCAGCAGAAUCAUCAAUCGGCCCCUUCUUCCAGCCCCUGGAAUCUUGCCUCGUGGAUAUGGCAAAUGAGGUAAUUAGUACAAGCACAAUAUUGAAACAUCAUGAAGAUAGAUCAAAUUUUCAUUCUGCAACUACACGCGAAAUGCUAUAAAGCAAUAUAUAUAUAUAUAUUAAAAGAUAAAAAGAAGUAUUUUAAUAUAUAUUAAAAGAACCAAUAAUUAAAAUAUGUACGUCCAUUAUAACAUAAUUGGUCUAAAGAGAAGUAAAAUCAUCCAUUUUGUUAUUUAUAAAAAUUAAAUAUUUUAUAUAUAAUCUUUCAAAAAUAUUAUUUGUUUUUGUUUUCCAAUGAUUUUUUUUUUAUUUUUCUUCUAGAUUACCAAAAAGUAAAUAGCAAAAACACCAACCCAACUUCUAGUACUUUCUAGAAUAGGCGAAUAUUUACACUUUUUUACAGCAUCGUUGAGUUAGAGCUAUGAAUUUUUGUCGUGCGCUAUUAAAAAUGCUUUUAACAACAUUUUUUGCAUACUUUUAUUAAUAUUUUUUUUAUAAAUUUAUGACUAUACUAUACAAGUUUCUAACAGUAUUAUUAAUAAUAAAUAUAGUUAUAGACAUCGUAUAAACUAGUAGACGGUACAUUUUUAUUAUUAUUGUUGAAAAUAAGAAAAAUAAAGUAAAAAAUUUAUAUAAUUACACUUUUUAAAUUUUUGUUAUGUAAAAAAGAUAUGUUAGUUCAGAGGAAUGUAAUUAAAGUAUAAAUUUAUUGUAGUAACUCAAGCAAUGGUUGUCCUAUGCAGGGAAUAAUUAAUAAAGCUAAAAUCGAUUCAUUCAACUUGCCUAUGUACAGCCCAUCCCCUGAAGAGCUAAGACAACUCAUACAGAAAAAUGGGAGUUUUAGCAUAGCGAGAUUGGAAAGCAACACAGAUGCGGGGAGCAAACGGUUGUGUGGAGCAGGUGAGUGUAGAUCUGGGUUAGAGAACAUCAUCGCAGGACACUUUGGGAGUAAUAUAGUAGAAGAAUUAUUUGAGCGAUACGCCAAGAAAAUUGCAGGAUGCCCUCCCCUUGACACUGGUGACACAAGUGGAAUUGGAUUAUGCAUCAUCCUCAAACGCAACCACUGAUGAGAAAUCUGCUCUCUGCUUGCUUCAUCUAUUUCACUUCUAUGCACGAUUGAUUUAAUUCAAGCUGCUCCUUUGGGCCAUAUUCAUACAUCCUUUGCCUUGUUUUUUUUUUUUUCUCGUUUCUGGUUUUUCUUUUGUUGCAACUUUGCUAAGACAAGCACACAAUAUUAGAGAUGUACUGUACUUCUGUGAUUUAUAAUAUAGGCUUCUUUUUCUUAUACUUUUCUGCAAUUUACUUGUUAUUCAUUUGCUAUUUACUUUUUUAACAAAUAAUUAGAUUAAUAGUCAUAUAAAUAUGGGUAAAGAAUUUUUUUUUAACAUAUGAUCUUUAGCUUAUAUAAUGAGAGAUAAUUCUCUCCCGUAUAACUUAUUGCUCUAACUGCUUUAUUCUCAGGUUUCAUUUCAUGUUCUUAAUUUUUAAGAUAUCUCGAACCACAUAGAGAGCUAUAAGUGUUACAUCUUAGGUUUAUCUUUCAAGCACAUUUUCAGAGAGGUUAAUUUUAUUGCAAAUGAAUUUGCAAAAGUAGGAAUUUUCUGAAUUUAUCAGAAUUAUUAAUUUGUUUCCAAUUUAAGUUUAAGUUAUAUCUGUAAGAUUUAAGCAAUAAUACCACUGUUCCUAGACAAAUGAAACAUAUCUGAAGCCACAUGGAGAGCUAUAAUUGCUACAUCUCAAGUCUAUCUUUCAAGCACAUUCUUAGAGAGAUUAAUUUUCUUGCAAUUGGAUUUACAUAAGUAGAAAUUUCUUGAAUUAGAAAUUUCUACGAUAUUUUAUAACUGAUAGAUUAUCGCAUUUUUUUUCGUGUUUUCUCUUGUUUCAGUUUGUACAACUUUAACUCUCCAUCCUAUAUAUUUCCAAUAUAAUUAUCUUACUUACCUUUAAAAAAAAUUGUUAUUUUGACAUUCCGGCCACUCAUCUUUUAUGUUUUAAGCAUCAUUACAAUUUCAAAAGAAUCUUUGGUCAUAGACAUACUCUCAAGGCCAAAAUCAACUAAGUCAAUCUACCUAGAGUGCCCCUCAAUUUGGGUAUAUCCUACGAGCCUUCUAGCUUUUAACUGUAGAGGGCACUGUUGUCGCACUUUGCUAGCAUGUCUGGUAGAAUUAGUGUGGUAAAUGCCAGAAAUUUCAGGUAUGAAAGAUGAAGAAAAACGGCUCAAGGGUUAAAGGAAUUUGUCUGGUCAUAUUUGUAUUGAUAGUCAGAGUAUUACAAGGCAAUAUAUAUAUAUAUAUGUGUGUACAGGUAUUGAAUUGAUUGUGGAAAAGCAUAAAGUUAGUCUCUAACUAACUAAUAAUUACAAUCUAACUAAUUUUUAAAAAACUUAAAUCAAACUACUGCGUUUUGAACUCUCCUGGCCUUUUAUUGAGACGGGGAGUUUUGGUCCUCUAUUUCUACCUUCUUUUUCCCAGUCAAGGACUUCAGUCUUCUUCUUCAUUUCUUGUCUGUGUUUCUAUCUCUUGGGAAAGCUUAUUUCACACUGCUGAUUCAAUCAAUGUUUGAUACUCCCCCUCAAGAUGAACUGUCUAUGUUAUGAACAUUCAUCUUGCUCAUCAAGAAGUGGAAUUGUCUCCGUUGGGGUGCCUUGGUGAAGAUGUCAGAUAGUUGUGACUGUGUUGAGAUGUAUAGGGGAUUAAUUAAUCCUGUCAUUACCUGUCAUUACCUUUUUUUGUAACAUUUUUAUGGUUUGCUUAUGUGAUUGGAUCUUGUCUUCUACUGUCAACAGACAUAUUGAGGUUUUUUAGUCUGAUAUGAUAAUGUAGAACUCUGCUAUUAUCUUCUAAAGAGAUUUUACAUAUUGUAGUUUUAAUAUGGAUGUUUAACUCAUUGAGCAAGAUCUGGUUUUAUCAAAUUAUUUUGUGAGUUGAAAUUAUGGAUUAGAAGCACAUAAUGCUGUCAGUUUGUUUACAGAACUUGGUUUCUGUUUGAUAAACUAAAAUUUUAAUGGUGAAAAAUUAUGUAAUAUUCAAUUACUUUACUUUUCUUUAUACUCUAUUCUGCGUAAUUGUACACUAAUUUCUAAUUAGGCUUCAACUACUUAAAUGCUUGAUAUUUGAAUUGUUGAUCUAUCUUGCUCCUUGCAUGGUAUAAAUCUUAAUAGGAUCAGAUGAUGAUAGCAUGCUGCUUUAUGUUAGUAAAGUUUAUAUUGCCAUGUUAGAAUCUUGCUUAAUUUGCCGAGCAUAUAAUUUACACUUUAAAACCAGUUAUAUUUUAUUGUUUAUUUUUGCCUGAACCUGCAGAUGUUCAGUUCCUACCAAUAUCUGGUCUUGUUGGUACUAACAUGAAAACAAGAGUAGAUAAGAGUACAUGUCCUUGGUGGAAUGGUCCCUGCCCAUUUGAAGCCCUCGAUUCUGCUGAAGUUCCUCUCAGAGAUCCAAAAGGUCCAUUUAGGUAGUAGUCCGGAGCCUAUCUUACAUAACAGGAUUCACUGCCCACACAACUUUUAUGUUUGAUUCUAGUUCCUGCCAUGUACUAGUAGCGUGUAAAUUUUAAUUCUUGGUCACUUAUAUGACACAUCUAAUGAUUUGUUAUUGACUCUAUAGGAUGCCUAUAAUUGACAAAUUCAAAGACAUGGGAACUGUUGUUAUGGGAAAGGUAGAAUCUGGAAGUGUGCGUGAGGGUGAUUCAUCAUUGGUUAUGCCAAACAAGGUGCUUGAUCUUCACAAUUUUUCCAUUUUAUUUAUGCGUAUAUGGUUUUUUAUUUUUAAUUUAUGGGGUCUGAGGAUUUUAUGCAUGGAUUGCGGGCUCAGGUGAAAGUUCUAGCUGUGUAUUGUGAUGAAAAUAAGGUUAGGUGUGCAGGACCUGGUGAAAGCUUACGGGUUAGAUUAUCUGGGAUUGAAGAAGAGGACAUAUUAUCGGGUUUUAUCUUGUCAAGUGUUGGUAAGUUUUUCUCAAUGGAGUUCUUCAUUAACCUUUACAAUCCUUUUUUCUAAUUCUACUUGUUUGUCUUUUAUAUUAAUAGUAAAUUGUAUUAGUUUUGCCUUAUUUUCGGGGUUUAAUGUUUGUUUUUCCUGCUUGCAGUAAAACCGAUAGCUGCUGUCACUGAAUUUACAGCCCAGCUGUAGAUCCUUGAGUUGCUUGAAAAUGUAUGCAUGAAUGUCAUUUUCAGUUAUCCUUAUUUAAUAAAAUCUAUACAUUUAAAGUAUAAUGUCCUAAUUAUUUGCUGUCUUGUUGAAUGUUGUUUAGGCUAUUUUUACAGCUGGAUAUAAGGCUGUGUUGCAUAUUCAUUCUGUUGUUGAGGAGUGCGAGAUAGUGGAGCUACUACAGCAGAUUGAUCCAAAGACAAAGAAACCCAUGAAAAAGAAAGUUCUUUUUGUGAAGAAUGGUGCUGUUGUUGUGUGUCGCAUUCAGGUUCGGACUCUUACUUUCUUUUAAAUAAACCAAAUUGGGGGUAUUGCUUUUUUGUACAGUUCAAUGCACUAAGUUAAACAUGUUUAGUAGCUCUGAGGGAGAUAUAAUUUUUUAGGGUACGAUCUGGAAAAUUGGCUGCAUUGUUGUAGGUAGUUUGAAAUCAAACUGAAUAAAUUGCUAGAUUGACCAAGGUGAGAAAGCAGUUGGAAAGCACUUGUUGGUGAGUUGUUUUAUCACAGGAGUAGAAGUGGAAAUAGUGGGAUAGCACUAUAAACUAAUGGUGAACCACUAACACCUCCUUUUUUGGGGCUCCACAUAUGGGAAAAAUUCUCUGAUAAAUCAGAAACAGGUAGCUGGAGCUAUGUUUCUGAGUUGGUUGAACUUGUACUUAUAACGUGGUUGUCUACUCUCUCCGAUGUGAGCACAUGUGCAUGCACAUUCUGUUUUCAGUGUAUGUUGUCUGUGUAGUGGAGAGGAGGCUGGAAAGGCCAAUCCGUAUGUUACAUACGUCAAUCAAUUAUUAACUGAAGUAAAAGAUGUUUCAGAAUGGAAGACAAUGGCUGAAUUAGUCUCUGUUUUUUCGGGGUUGAGAAAAUACUGUGUUCUUUUGCUUCUCAGGUGAACAACUUGAUUUGCAUUGAGAAGUUCUCAGAUUUUCCACAACUUGGGAGAUUCACUCUUCGUACUGAAGGUAAUGGAGACAGGCUCUUUUCAUUGCCAAUAAAUUAUUGUUCUUAAUGGCUGUGGGUCACAUGAAUUGUCAUGUCUGCAGGAAAAACCGUUGCAGUUGGAAAAGUCACUGAUCUUUCUUCAAGUAGUGGUGCUUAAUACAAUUUUGUUCUUAGAGGUGAGAAUUUAAACAUUGAAGGUUAUUUCUGCUCCUCUAUGUGAAGUUCCUUUUGGGAUCGCUGUUAUUCUCCUGCACCAUAUAUUUAAUGCAAGAGAUAACAAACCACCGAGAACAGUAUGAAAAGAGAAACAGAGUUUUGAGUUGAUCAUCAAUUGGUGAUCUUUCAAUUUAGUCUUCUAACAUAAAAUUGUAGUUGAAUAACAUUUGGUCCUUUUGGGGAUGGAGGGUUGGGAUUUUUCACCAAAAUAUUGCCUUAUUGUUGCAUCACGUACUUUUAUUGUUGUUGGAGAAUGGCUUUUGUUAUCGCUAUGCUAGUUGGUAGCACCUUUGAAGAGUUGGGGGGAUUUUGUUGUGGAAGCAUUACGCGGUUGAAAGUAGUUUACUCACAGUAUACCAUGCCAUCCGAUUCCUUUUCUCUUUUUUUUUUUUCUCUGCUAUGGUAAUAGAGGUUAAGCAGGAAAUGGGACUAGACUUUGUUUUAGGUAAUAGAGAGAGGCUGGACGCGGUUGCAGCAGAUAUUUCUAAGUUUAACUUGAGUCUGAGAGUUGUAGAAGAUAAGAAAGUUAAUUGUACUAACAGGCAGACUGCCUCGAAGGUGAGAUCGGAAAUAAUAGGGAGAGAGAAAGAUAUAAAUGACAUUAUAAAAUCAUUGUUGCACGAUCAAAAUGAUAAUCAUGGUGACAGCAUCUCCCUUGUUGCCAUUGUUGGAUUCGGAGGAUACUUGUACAGAAAUUUUUUUACUUUUAAAAAUACAACAGUAUAAAUGUACCCAAGUUAUCAAAUUUUUCUGAUUUUUCACCUUGUUAUAUCAAUUCCCAACAAUCUUUUAGAUGUUUCCUCUCUACUUUUUCAGUGAUGCUAAUGUGUGCUUGGAGGAGAUUCAUGCGACUAAGAUAUUCUCAAUAGUUAAAUUUCUUCUAUUACCAUAUGCAAAAAAUGGAGUUCAUGAACAAAUUAUUGUAAGUAGCUUCGCGUCCCCCGUUUUUAUAGGUUGAUGAAUACAAUAUCAUCUCUUAUACAAUGGGACAACUUUGGACGUUCUUGUCAUACCCUUUCAGAUGCAAAACCAGAAUUAAAUGGACAAGGAUCAUGAGCUAGAUUGCUUCUAUUACAGAGAUUCUAAGUAACUGAAACACUGGUGAAAUGAGCUGAGAUGUGAGAGUGAGAAUGCUUCUUCUUUUUACAGAUUAAUAUAUAUCUUCUUUUUUCUAUCUUCUCUUCAAGGAAAUGACUAAUAUUACAACCUCUUCCUUUCAACAAGCAGAUGGAAUGAAGUAUUAACCUUAUAAUAUUGUUUUUUCCCGAGUAUCCCUGAGGAUUUGCAACUACAAGUUUGUUAAAGGGCCUAUCUCCACAAGACUCUUGAGCUAGAAGCUAGUAAUAAUAGAAAAUAAUGUGAAAGUCUGCUUGUACAUUUCCUGCUUUUGUGAAGAAGAGAUAUUGUUACAGGUAAUGUUUCCUCCUUUUCUAGCUGUAGGAACUAGCUUUUGUAAGGAUUAUAUUAACAUAAUUUCUUUUAAUUUUUUUACGUGUUUAUAAUGGUGAUGACAUUUUUUCUUUGUUUGAAAGAGGACGAUUUCAUCUUGCUAAUUUCCUUCCAAAGUAGAACAGCUGUCGAAUUGAAACCAAGAGAAGUUUUAAUUGGUAAAAAUUUACCACUUAUUCAUUUUGUCUUACCAAUUUCAUUUGCUGGCUAUAAGAAAUUCAUACUUCUUUCUGCAUGUCUUUUUUUGGAUUAUAGAUUUUUUCUGAUAGAUCGAGAGAGUAAGAAUUGAUUUCACCUUGCCAAUGCCAUUGUGAGGAAGAGUAUUACAAUCGAUGGAUGGAAGCUUUUACUCCCAACAACGUCAUCACAUAAUAAUUUGAAGGCGUGAGUAUCUAUGUUACAGUUUGAUGGCAAUUCUAUGUGAGAUAUAAAUUUUGCUUUGAGUAUUAAUAUUUUUUUUUUGAAAGGUGAUUUUAUUCAUCCUCUGUACCGGAAUCGCAUUUCAAAUCUCUUGCCUGAUAGACCAAAGACUCCCUUGGCAUUAAGAACCCGGUAAGGGUAAAAGUAGUACAAAAACACAGAAAACACCAUCCAAGACUUGAUGGCAGCUCCAAGAGAUCAAAAGACAAGAGUCACAAAGCCCUGAAACAAAAAGAAGGGCAGCACAAUAGGUCUCUAACCUAAAAAAAGAAAAGGGCUAGAUCCUAAUCAAAAUGAUUUUUUGAUAACCUGCAACAUGUAUUCAAUGUUAUGAAUAUUAGAUAGUAGUAAAAUUUGAGACACUGUUGGUCACUUUCAUCAACUUGCAAGACAGCCUAAGACCUAAUUAAGGAAUAUGGCAUAAAAAAUUGGCUCCACGAACUCAACUUCUCCGGACCCAGCAACUUAAUAACUAAGUCCUAAUAUAUUCAAAGUGCAUUUGCUGUCAUUUUAGAACUGUACAAAAAUAAAACAUAAAUAACUUUUGAGUAUUUAAAUUCAAUAAAGGCUAGCUCAUGAAAAUAAUUGAACAGCUUAACCUCUGGUUUCUUUUUAGAUAACAUUGAGUACACAGCAUGCAACUCUUUCACCUUUUCUUCCCAAGAAGUGAGCCUCGGUCUAACGAUCUUGAAUUCAAGGUGAAUUGGCUUUUCAUUUUUUGCUCUAUUAUAUAUGAGGAAUUUGCUGUGUAUGGAAUCUUCAAUAUUUUUUCAUUGCUCUAACGUUUAAGAUUUUCAUUUUCCAUAUAUAGAAAAAGAAGAGGUGCCAAUGACUUGCCCACCAACUCCCUUCUGAGCAUUUUUGAAAAGCAGGUAUUCUCAAAAGCAUAUCUAUUGCAAAAAUGAUGACUAUAUAUUAUAGCUUCUUUAGUUUUUGUUCUUGACUUUUUGCAUAUCUUUGUCCUCAAUGCUUCUUUAUAACAACGGUUUUUUUUACUAGUUAUCUGUGAGUGGAGUCAAACAACACUUGCUAAGUAAUGGCUCGAGUGAUCGGAAGAAGUGCGUUGAGCUAAGCUCGUUGUAAAACCCCUUUGCUUCUUUCAAAAUAUCAAUAAUGCUUCCAUCUUGGCCAUUCUUGGAGGUAUUUGUGUAGUGGCUUCAAUCCUAGUCUUUAGACCUUGACUAUAGUAACCUAAACUGUGAAGGGACCUAAAUACAAAGGUUCUUCCAUAAUGUAUAUGGAGAAGACUUUUGGGAUAUUGUUCCGAGAUUUCCUAUAUGCUACAUUUGGGUGUUGCAACUAUGUAAAUUCAUGUGCGUUUUAUUAUACUAGAUUGUUUGCUUACUUUUUAUCAUCAAAUUUAAUUUGCUAUGGUAUCGAUGUUUUACACUAGGUUAUUUGCCAAAGGAAUGGUAUAACCUGUUUUCAUAUUCCAAUUAACAAAUUGUCAAAAAUAAUUUGUCAAUUUUUUUUUGCUUCAGCAAGUUCAUCAAACUUAUCUUAUAAGUAAUAUGUUCAAUCAUUAUAUUGAAAAUCUUAUAUUAAAAUAAUAUCUUAACAAGUUUUCUGAAGACACUCAUGAAUAAAAUAUAUCCUUUAUUUAUUCAUUAGAAAGAUCUCCUACAAGUCCAUAAACAGCUACCUCAAUAAAUUGAACCAUCAAGAUGAAGCAAAAUGUAAUUGUACAUGUUCCUUUUGCAUUAAGGAUUAAUUUGCUAUAAAUUCUCAGUUUUUUUUUUUUUCCUUGAAUUCUAAGUUUUCAGACAGUGCAAAAAGUGGGAUGGAUGAAGAUUAUUGAAAAGAAAAAUCACUCCAAGUGUAGAUUAUAAAGCUAGAAUCUUUCAGACUUGAAACCUACCCUUGCCUGGCGUUCUCAGGUCUAUUUGUUUCCUAGCAGGCUGCAUUAGGUAAGAUCUCCUUGGUGGGCAAUAAACUAUAGCAGGAUGAAAGUUAUUGGAGAAGAGUUAACCAAGUUGGCUACAAAAACAAGAAUCGCUGAGGAAAAAAAAAUUCUAAUCAGUCAUAAAACUAAUAAAACUCUGUUCCUAGAAUUAAAAAUCAAAAGUUGGGGAAUAUUAGUAGAAUUCCGUGUUCCACUAGUUUUUAUUUGAUUUCAACAAUAUAAAUAUAUUUUCUCUGCUUUGUUAAUUAAUUGACUAUUAUUCAUUCUUUUUUUUUUAAAUCAAAAAGAAUGUUAUUGCAUAAUUAGGAUUAUCCAAAAGGAUAAGUCUCAAAUCAAAUAAGUACGUAAGAAAACAGAGCCCUGUACGUAAGAAAAACAAUAAAGCAGGACCCAACAAGAAAACAGAAGAAAAGGACGAUUAUUCAUACACCUACUCUUAUUAAUAAUCAAUUGAUUAUAAUAAUUACCAAGUUGCCAAUAAUUUUGGCUUUGUAGCUUUGGCAUUUUACCUUUCUCAAUGCGACGACGUUGAGCCAAGUUGCCUAUAAUUUUUCCAUCUGUCCUACACCGACUCUUAUUACUUUGACGUCAUAUAUAGAGUUUACAUUUAAGCAUCGUCUUCUAUCAUCUCCACAUCUGCGAGCUGCACUGCCCCCAAAGACUUUGAUUUCUGCCUUACUCUUCCAUUUCAUUUUCCUUCAUUUUUCCACUUUUCUCUCAGCUCAAAAGAAAGAAAAAAAAAAGCAUCUCUGUUGGUUUAUUUUCGUUGGCUUCUACUUUCCUAAUCUUCUUUUAUCUCAGAAAAAAAAACAAAAAAAUUGUUCUCUUAAAUUACUUGUUUUAUCCCUGCUACUCUUCCUUUCCUUAAUUUUGGUUUCCCCAUCUCCGGAGUUGGUGAAGUAAUUCCAUAAGAAUUAAGAUCCAUCUGAAUUAAGGUAAGCUUCAAUAAAAUAUAUUAUAUUUUCGGUAAUAUAAUUUUUUUAUAUGCUCAAUUUCUCUUAUUAUUUAUUUGGCUUCUUGAUUUAUUCAAUGGAUAGAUAAAAUUGAGAGUUUAUCUUUGAUGCAUCGACAAUAUAUAAUUUUUAUACAAUAUCAAUUCACCACAAUGCAGCAUCUCGUUAAGAAGUAAAAAUAGUAGAAUCAAAUUAAAAGAUAAUUGACAUAAUACCUAAAAAAGCCUUGAAACUAUUUUAAAAAAUUCAACUAAUUUUUUUUUUUUUUUGCCUAUGAUCUAGACUUUAUAUUAUAAUUAAUAGUUGAUUAAUUAUUUUUAAUUAAAAUGUCAAUUGUAAUGCUAAGUGAAAAGAUAUAAUAAAAUAUAAAUAGAUAUUUAAAAUUUUGAAAAAUAUUUUAUAGGUGGAUAUAUUAUCUUUUUACCCUAUCAUGUUAGAUAUAUGAGUGUGAUUAAUUUCAGAGGAAUUGAUAUGACCUUCCAGAAAUUGAACUACACAAUUAUGAAUGUGGCUCCCAAGCUUAUGCCAAUAUUUCUGGUAGACUUACGCAAGUAUCCCAUUUGGUCCAGAAGCCUUUGUAGAGUGCAUUAGGAACAAAGCACUCUUCAGUUCCUCCACUGAAAUACUAGCAUUUAAAUCAACAUUCAUCUAGUCCGUUAUUUUUUACCGUAUUCCAAACAAGGCUGCGUCUAUCUGUAAUUGACCUGAAGAAAAAAACAAGCCAAUGAAAAAGUCAUUAAUAAUCGAACUCAAUUCACUUGCGAAAUCUGUCCAUUCAUCAUUCUCUUUCUUCAAAGCUCAAAUGGUGUUUUUCCUCCUCCUCUCCUUUGCUGUUCCAAGGAAGAACUUGGUGUUCUUGUCACCUUUUUUCAACCAUGUUACCCUAGAUCUCUGUUUCCACAUCAUCUCUUCCACUUUUACCAAUUGAUUGAUCUAAUUUUGAACAAUUUUAAUUUUUAAAGAGUAGCCAGUUCUUUCAUAAAACUGUUGUAGUUCUAUUCUUUUUCACUUCAUUUGCUUCUCAUCUCCUGUAUAGAUUUAGUUUAUUUUAGUUAUUAUUUUUUGCAAUAUUUUUAUCAUAAAUUUUACUUAAUAUGAUUCAUGUGCAUAUUGGACAUUCCAUAGUAUAAAUGUGUUGUGAAAAUUGCCCAAGAAUCAACAAAGAUAAAACUCAGAGAAAUUAAGUAAACAGAAAAAUAUAAGAAUUUAUGUGGUUCGACCUCUUGUCUACGUCCACGGAAUAAAACUGUUCUUCUAUUAUUGAGAAUUUAAAGUACAAUAAAUUCAUCUUUAUGGUUCCCCAAACCAACCCAAGAUUCCUUGCACACUCUUCUUCAAUAACCUCACAAGAACACUCACCCAAACCACUUUCGCUCCACCUAGAGCAAAAGACAGAAUUACAAAAUGUUUCCUCUCUAGAGCUCUCAAAGCACUACUUGCAAUUCUAAAGCCUAAAAAUCUACUUUUAUAGUAUAAAAGUUCAAAGUAGAAUGUGAUUAGGAUUCGAUGUGGAAUAAAAAGUUUAAAACUAUACAACUACUCAAUGUUAUACACAAACAAAAAAUCCUAAACAAAUAAGAUUUAGAAUUCUAGUCAACCUGAAACUCAACAAAUCUUCACAUUUGACUUGAAUUCAAACUUCUUAAACCUCUUCCACUAGUCGCACCUAAUUGCAACUUCCUAACUCCACUUACUUUCCAACACCUUGGACAACUCUCCAAGCAUAAGACUUUUUAAAUCAUUAGCCUUUAUAAUUACCACGACUUCACAUACUGAAUCAAGUAUGGUCCAACACUGGAUUCUACAAAACAGCCAAUGCACCUGUGUAGCCGUCAAGUCAAUGGCACUAAUUAACUUCGGAAAGGGACCUUGACGACCCUUCCAAUUCACUACUGGUAAGAUUUUUCAUCCUUUCACCAUCAUCUACACCAUGGGAAUCUUUCAUCACCUCUUCGGCAAAUGAAAUCUCACUUUGAUAGCUACCAUCCCUAGUGCAUUGUUCCCAUCUUUUCGAGGCCUCACAUUCUAGACGAUACAAGUCAUUAUGCAAAUUCUCCCUCAUCAGGACCAUGUCGCCUUGUGUGACUUUUACCACUCCAUCACAAGCAGAAUAUCCAUACCUUUUGGAGUCUAACAGGCUCAAUGAUAUUAGAUUCUUACGCAUCUUUGGGACAUAGGCCACACCAUCCAAAGAGCGCACAACCCCAUCAAACAUUUUGAUUUUCACCACUCCAAGACCCAUGAUCUUCACUAUUGACUUAUUACCCAAAGUCAAAUUCCCAGCCACCCCUUCUUGAAGUAAAUCAAAAUAAUCUUUUUGAUAACAUAUGUGAGUAGCAAAAGCAGAAUCUAAAUACCAAUCAGAAUUUGCAUCCAUAUUUUCUGAGAUUGUAAGGACAUCACAAUCAUCACCUUCAGCAACGAAAGCACACUCACCUUUAUUCUCAUUACUUUCAUCCCAUUUUGUAGGACAAUCCUUUUUAAUAUGCCUAUACCUUUUGCAUUUAAAGCAUUGAACAUUGUUAGAUCUAGACUUGUCACCCUUAGAUCCCUUACCAGUUGACUUCCUCCUAUUAGCCUCAAUUACCAAUGCCAAGCCAUUUGGAUCUCUAUCCCCUUCUUUACUUUUCUUUCGGGCUUCAUGAGACAUUAACGUUGUUUGUACUUGUUCUAACAUUAUUGUAUCGAUUUCACAUAUAAGAGAUUCCACAAAUACCUUAUAGGAGUCUGAAAGCGAAGCCAGGAGCAAUAGUGUCUUUUCCUCUUCCUCCACCUUGACAUCAACCUUCUUCAACUGAUCAAAGAUUCCAUCGAAUUCAUUCAUAUGCUUCAUGAGGUCUCCAUUCUCUUCCAUCUUUAAGCGAUACAACUUUCGCCUAAGCUGCAACUUGUUAGAAAGACUUUUCGCCAAGUAAAUUUUUUUUAACUUUGUCCAUAAUCUUGAAGUAGAAUCCUCAUCAAUAACAUGGUUAAACACAUUAUCUCCAAUGCAAAGUCGAAUAAUGCUCACACACCUUUGCUCCAACUCUGCCCAUUCAACAUCUUUCAUGUCAUCUGGUUGCCCUUCCUCUUUUCCUAGCAAAAGACGCAUUAAACCUUGCUGCACAAGGAGAUCUUUCAUCCUUCUCUACCACUGCGUGAAACUAGUCUUACCAUCAAACUUCUCAAUUGAAAAAUUCGUAGAACUAGUAACUUUCGACAUCCUUAUUGAAUCUUGAAUUUACAGAACCCGAAGCUCUGAUACCAGUUUGUUGUGGAAAUUACCCAAGAAUCAACAAAGAUAAAACCCAGAAAAAUUAAGUAAAUAGAAAAACACAAGAAUUUACGUGGUUCGGCCUCUUGCCUACGUCCACGGAGUGAAACUGUUCUUCUAUUAUUGAAAAUUUAAAGUACAAUAAAUUCAUCUUUAUGGUUCCUCAAACCAACUCAAGAUCCCUUGCACACUUUUCUUCAAUAACCUCCCAAGAACACUCACCCAAACCACUCUCGCUCCACCUAGAGCAAAAGACAGAAUUAUAAGGUGUUCCCUCUCUAGAGCUCUCAAAGCACUACUUGCAAUUCUAAAGCUUAGAAAUCUAUUUUUAUAGUAUAAAAGUAAAAAAUAGAAUGUAAUUAAGAUUCAAUGUGGAAUAAAAAAUUUAAAACUAUACAACUAUUUAAUAUUGUACACAAACAAAAAAUCUUAAUCAAAUAAGAUUUAGAAUUCUAGUUAAUCUAAAACUCAACAAAAUAUAUAUAUAUGUAUAUCUUCAUUAGAUAUGUAACAUUAAUUGGUAAACAAACUGGCUGAGAACUUUCUCUCUAAAAUCAAAUCAUGCAUGAAUAGAGAGGGUAGAAUCUUAGUAAAAAUACUAGUAUUAAUUUUGAAAUUAACUCAAACUCAAAGUAAUUGUUUAAAAGGGCAACCUGAAUGCGACGUGAUGUGUGCAGUCAUUACAGCUGGAAGAGAGGUAUGGGUUUGAAUCAGGUAAAGAAGCCAAAGAGGGGUGCUCCUACAUUUUUCUACUUUUUGUUUAUGAUCAGAAGAACCUGAGGUAACAUAUAAAUAUGCAUUGAUAAUCCAACUAGAUCUGCGGCUGUUGUUUGGACAACAAGAGAAAAGGGUAGCUCGGGAACUGAGCAUGCCACUGCCAUGGCCCCUCUCUUAUUAACUCUUUCAACCACGUUCAUUCAAAGUCUAUCCCUAAGCUGUCCUGUCACUGGUGACGGACCCUAUAAUCAACUCACCUCCAAUUGAACCAACUGCACAUGAUUUCUUCCUUACAAUGUCUAGAAAUUUCAUAAACAAUAAAAACAAAACGAAGUUAAUUUAAUAUAUUAUCAACAUUUAUCUAUAUAAAAGUUGAUUUUAUUCGAUUUUUUAUUGCCUCACACGUGUAUAUAGAUAACGAUUGCAUGAUGUGAUAUCAGGAUCACUAGCAGAGACCAUUGCUGCUAACUGAAACACACUAAGCAACUUGAAGAAAGUUGAUGCCAUGCCAUGAUUGGUAGCACUACACUUUUACGUGAAGCUGGUUGAGAAAAGAUUGUGUUUUUGCUUACACAAAUCUUCCUGGAGCAAGUACUUAUAGAGUAAUCAGCUGAGAAUUCUAUGUCAAAAUUGAGAAUAUCCUAUAUGAUCAAAUUCAUGGGCAACAAGAACACUGUAUUUUCCAUUGGCCAGCAUUACAUGAAUAUCUUUUAUAUUAACAAUCAAAUAUAAAUUUUUUCUCAAAAAACGAAAAAGAAAAAAAUCAAAUACCAACCGAAAAUUUUAACAAGUCUUCUUAAAACACUCCUAAUAAAAUAUAUCUUUUAUUUAUUUCUUUGAAAAAAAAAUUCUAAUUAUUGAUAUUCACUUUUUUUUUUUGUAUGAAGACUUUUCCAGUAGCUAAGUUUCCAAGUCUGAGAUUAGUAAUGAAUACACACCUUUGCAAUUGCAUUGCAGAUUCUUAUCAAAAAAUUAAUAAUAAUAAUAAAAAUUAUUCUUAAGCAUCCUUUCAUUGUUCUUUUUUGUUUUUUGUUAUUACUUUUUUUUAUACAACUGUUUGUCUUUUACUUCUUAAAAUUUUACUAUUAGUUAUAAAUUAUUAAAUGAAAAAUAAACGAUAAAAAGGUUAAAUCAAUAUUAAUUAAGAAUGAAUAAAUGAUUAAGAUAUAACUAUCAAUAAAUGUUGGUAAAUACUUUUACUUUUUAAUUUUUAGUCAUAAUUUCAAGUGAGUGUAUUAAUUUUUAAAUAAACAGCUGAUUCCAAACAUAAAAAUGACGUUAACGAGCAAAUGUGAAAUGUCAAAAAUAAUCUUAUUCUUUCUACCUCUUUUUCUUUUUUUUUUAAGAUUAGUUGACGGUGCUCUUUAUGCCGAUCGACCACCCUCGCAUCCCCCUUACCCUCAUGCCACCCCCACCCCACCCCUCUUCUAAGGAGCACAGAUCUGACACUCUCCAGGGAAGCUCCCCCCCGCCCCUCCUUUGGUGCUCGUCGAGGGUGGGGGGGCGCGACUCCUCUAGGGAACGUUGGAACAAUGGCGGGGGGAAAGUGGAGCGCAAGGGAAGGGAGAUCCAGUUGGAACCAAAUCUAGUGCUCCGACUACUAGAAAAGGUGGGAGAUUUUUUUUUAAUAGGAAAUACUAUAAUAAAUUUGACUUAAGACAAUACAUUUUUAAAAUAUGUUAUUAAAAAAAUUUUAAUAAUAUUUUUUUAUAUUUUUUAAAAUAUUUUUAUAGAUCUAAUUUUAAUAUAUAAAAUUUUAAAUAUAUUAUUAAUAAAAUAUGAAGAUAGAAAUUACAUACACCAGUAAAGAUUGUACUUUUUAUAUUACUAUUAAAUUUGACAAAAAUGAAGUUAAAAAUUUAAAUAAUUACACUUUUUAAAAUUUUACUACACAAAAAAAUAUAUCGUCCAAAGAAAUGUAAUUAAAAUUCAAAAUUUUUAUAGUUAAAAAAAUUAAAAAUUAUAGUUUAUAUAGUAUGAUAGUUUUUAAAAUUAAUAAAAAGUAAAAUUAUAUUUUUAAUAUUACCACUUUAUCAACUUAAUGGAAAUAUUAAAAGUUUGAUUAAGAGCUGGAUUUAUGCAUUGAGCGAAAGAUAUUCUUUUAAGACAAACUGUCUAUUUCAAAAAUUAAUGAAUUAGUGUGAAUUUAUAAUUAAACGUUAAAAGGUAAAAGUAUUUUAUCCAUAAAUGUUUUAUUUAAACAUGCUCAUUAGGUCAAGUCUACUAAAUCUUUCAUUAUUAUAUAAUUAGGAAAAAUGUGUUAAACAAAGGUAAGUCAGAAUUUAAUUUUAGUGUUAUCUUAGUAAAUUUCAUUUUAGAUAGCCAUUAAACUAUGUUUUACUUCGAGUGAUUUUGGGUUCCAAUAAUUAUGCCUUAUAGUUGCUUAUUCACUCGAAAUUUUUUUUAUGAAAAGAAAACAAUUGUCAAAUAAAAUGAAAUAAUUAUUGAAUUUUUUUAAAUCUCUUAUGCAUAAUCAUAGUACUUAUGGUGUAAUAUUAAUUGGUCAAAUGAUGGUGAGAAUUACAAGCAUCAAAAGGUUAUGAAAGGAAUGAAGGCAAGUUAAAUUUAUCAUAGUAAUGAAAAAAUAAAUAAAUAAAGAGAAGCUCAGGUUUUCCAUUGAUAUAUAAGCAAGGAACUUGGAAAAUAAACUGGCUGAGAACUCUCUCUAAAAUCAAAUCAUUCAUGAACAGAGAGGAUAGAAUCUUAGUAAAAAUAUUAGUAUUAAUUUUGAAAUAAACUCAAACUCAAAGUAAUUGUCGGCAAGGGAAAGCUGAAUGCAACGUGAUGUGUGCAGUCAUUACAGUUGGUAGCGGGGUCUGGGUUCAGACUUCAGACCAAACUUUGCAGUCAUGUCAGUGGUGAGAGAUCCAAUAAUUCAACUCUCCUUCAAUUGAACCAACUUUUUCUUUGUGCACAUCAGCACAUGUAAUCAUAAACUCAACUUUUUCAUUUGAAGCUCAGCAGAACGACGGUGGAUGUGAGGUGGGUUGAGGGUGCCUGCCGCAGGGCACUCCAAAGUGGCGAAGGGACACCAUGGCCAUUGAGGCCAGAGAACUCCAUCAUGCUAGCUUUGGUAACCUAACACUAUGACUUUUUCCAAGUCAGUUUAGGUUUUAUAUAUUUUAAUUAUUCUUUUCCCCUUUGGAUAAUGCCUUGGACUGUUGUAAUUAUGGCCACCAUCAAAUGUGAUUUUGAAUCGGGUAAAGAAGGCAAAGGAGGGAUUGUCCUGCAUUUUUCUACUUUUUAUGAUCAGAAGAGCCUGCUUGCAUUAGAGCUGUCAAUAUGGGCUGACCCAGCUCAGCCCAGCUCAAGAUUUUGUGGAUUAAGAAAAAAUAGAUCAGAUCGGAUCAGUCUAUUUUUAUAUGGAUCAUGAAAAUCUCAAUCCAACCCAUCUUUUGUUAGUCUAUGUGUUGGGUUGGGUCAAUUUAUUUUUUAUUUUUUUUAAAAAAUUAUUUUUAUAAUUUUAUAAUAAAAUUAUUUUAUAAUUUAAUUUAUAAAUUAAAUAUUAAUAAUUAAAUUAUAAAAAUAUUAAAAUAUAAANAUAAAAUAAAUAAUAUUAUUAAUAAUUAAAUUAUUAAUUUUAUAUAAUUAAAUAUAUAAAAUUAUUAAAUUAAUUAAAAUUAUUUAUUUUUUUUAACUCACAAAACUAGCCUGCCUCAGUCCAUCUUAAUUCACUGAUUUGAUAAACUGAUUUAUUUAAAUUCGAUUUAAAUAUAAAUAUAAAUUUUUAAAUUUAAUUUAUUUUAUAUUUAAUAAAAAAUAAAUUGACCCAGUUUAGGAAUAGCUUGCAUUGAUAAUUAAAGUAGAUCGCUGUCGCUUGGACAGCAAGAGAAAAGGGCAGCUCACUGAGUAUGCCACUUGCAUGGGCCCCUCUUAUUAACUCUUUCAACUACAGUCAUUCAAAGUCUAUCCCUAAGCUGUCCUGUCAGUGGGGACAGACCCAAUAAUUCAACUCUCCUUCAAUUGAACCAACUUUUUACCUUGUGCACAUGUAUCCUUCUUUACUUCCAAUGUCUAGAAAUUUCAUAAACAAUAAAAAUAAAACGAAAUUAAUUUAUCAACAUUCAUCUUUAUAGACUUAAGUUUUUGAUUACCAUGUUAAGUUUGCUUGCGCUCCUGUUAUCUGCUUUAGAUUCAUUUUCAACUAAGUUGUAGAUCCAUGGCGGAAGUAAUUCCAUUCGGGGCAGUAAGUAAUAUCGUGUUGAGUUUCCUAGCAAGUCCCAUCCUCUUGUCAUAACACUUCCUGGAAAGCCAAGCAAGGUCCUUGAUAGAACAUCCGAGAGAGAAUCAGUCAAAGUUUAUUAAUUAUCUAUACCAACUCUCGUCCUAUUGUAGCUGGGACUCAAUCAAAGGAAAGAGAAUAAAUUUAAUUGGUUAAAAUAUGAAGUUAAUUUGAUAUAAUUAGUUAGAAUUUUCUUAAUUCUAUUAGACUUAAUUCGAUUUUUGUAUUAAACUGAAUUCUAUCAAGUAAGGGUCAUGGAGCAAAAGAUGUUUGGAUCGUUGUUAUUUGAAUAAAAGAAAGUGACAGUAAAAAUCGAGAUUGAGAAAUAAACCAAUAAUUCAAAAGUGCUCAUGAUUCAGUGUUCCACUGGUGGAAAAAGAGCGAAAAGCAGUGUUUGGGUGCUGACAAUUUUCAAAGUGUGGACCCACUAUCACGUGUUCUCUCCGGAAGAAGAGAAAGAGGUGGAAAAGGGGGGAUUCAUUUCCAAAAGUUUCCUACACACUGCCAUCACGCGACCCCCAUCCUCUUUCCAUGACACUUCCUGGAAACAAAAGCAGAACAUCUGAGACAGAACCAUCAAAGUUUAAUAAUUUUCUAUACCCACUUUUAAUACUUCAUCCUCAUACGGUUCCCAUUCAAGCAUCUUGUUCUAUCAUCUGCACUAUCCCAAGAGUUUGUUUGAUUUCUGCAUGCCUUGCUCUUCUUUUUACUCAACAAGACCUACCCUUCCAUUUUAUUGUCCUUCAUUUUCCCACUUUUCUUUGAACUCCGAGAACAAAAACAUCUUUGUUGUUUAACUCUAACAAAAAAAAAAAACAAAAAAAAAGUUAAUCUCUUAAAUUACUUUAGUUUGAUCCUUGUUACCUACUUUUCCUUUCCUUAAUUUUGAUUUCCCUAUCUCCGGAGUUGGUGAAGUCAUUCCAUCCCAAUUGAGGUAAGCUUCAAUAAAAUAUAUUACAUUCUUCAUAUUUUAUUUUUUUAUAUGUUCAAUUUCUCUUUCACUUCUGAAUUUGACUUUUUAUUAUAAAUUUUUUAUUUAUUAUAAAUUUUCAUUUUUUUUCCAUUUUUACGGACAUAUAUGGAUAUUUUCGAAAAGCAUUUUAUAGAAUGAUGACACUAUGCUUUUAGUUUAAUAUAAAAAAAUAUUUUUAAUUAAUAUACACAUGAUUAGUGACAAGAAUUUUUAUUUCUGCAGUAUUUUCGAUUCCAAGUUGGUCAGUCAGCAAUCUAUUCUCUGGUGAUUCACAUUUUCAUAAAGGUAAAGUGCUUUACAAACAUUUUUUCUCUCUGCAAAACUUUUUACUCUCUAAAAUUAAAACCAAGCAUAUUUUUAUUUUAUGAAAGUUUCAACUGAUCUUUAAUUAAAAUAUAUAACACGUUUUAAUAACUUAAAAUUUUGAAGCUUGAAAUAUUAAUAUUACUUAUUAAUAACAAUAAUUUUUUUAUAUAAAAAAUGGAAAAGGGGCGAAGUCAGUAGUUUCCUAAGACAAACGAUUUGAGCACUUGUCUUCCGCUAAAAUUUUGAAAUUGAAUAAGAAAAAGUAUUUAUAUUUAUGUACUAACCGUAUAUAGUUUUAAAAUAAAUAUUAAAAAAAUUUUAAUAACUAAUUAGAGAAAUAUUGUGGAGGCAUAAUCUAAUAAAAAUAUGAAUUAUUGCAAUGGUAGCCCAUUUUUGGUACUUCAAUUUUUGGCCUUGAUCUUCUGAACAAAACAUAUUCCAGUGGAUAGAUUUCCAAGUCUAAGAUUAACUAUGAACACACCUUCGCAAUUUGCAUUGCACAUUCCUACCAAAAAUAUUAAAAAAUAUUCUUAAGCUUCCUUUUAUAGUUUGAUUUUUUUUUUACAAUUACUUUUUUAUUUCUUAAAAAGUUAAGUGAGAAAUAAAUGACAAAAAAGUGAAAUGACAAAUUAAUUAAAAAUGAGUAAAAGAUUAGGGUAAAAAUAAAUAAAUAAAUGAUAAAAUUGUAUUAAAACUAAAGAGAUCUAUUUCAUUAUUUAGAAUAUUAUAUNCAAAAAAGUGAAAUGAUAAUUAAUUAAAAAAGAGAAAAUGACUAGGGUAAAAAUAAAUGAAUAAAUGGUAAAAUUGUAUUAAAACUAAAGAGAUCUAUUUCAUUAUUUAGAAUAUUAUAUAUAUACAUUUAAUUUAUCAAAACUUAUUUUGAUUUAUUCAAACAUGCUUAUCAGGUGAAGUCCGUUAAGUCUUUCAUUACCGUGUUAGUUUGCUUGCAUUUCCCUGUCAUCUGCUUUAGAUUCAUUUCAACCAAGUUGUAGAUCCAUGGCGGAAUCAAUUUUAUUCGGGGCACUCAGUAACAUCUUUUCCAAGUUGAUGUGGCUUGCUGGGCAAAAGAUUGGCUUGAUUUUCUGGCAGAAAGGCGAACUGGAUAAGCUUCAAAAGACUCUCGACAUCAUAAAAGCCGUCAUUCUUGAUGCUGAGGAGAAGCAGGAGAGCAACCUUGUUGUGAAAAACUGGAUAAGUAGACUGGAAGAUAUUGUCUCUGAUGCAGAGGACUUACUGGACGAAUUCGACUAUGAGAUCCUGCGCCAGAAGGUGCGUCCACGGGGACAGGUACGCAAGAUCUUUCGAUCCUUCAGGAUGGGUCCUAGAGUUAAGGAGAUUAGAGAGAGGCUGGACGUGGUUGCAAGAGAGAUUAAAACGUUUGAUUUUAAUGUGAGAGUUGUAGAACUGGAUAAGAAACGUAAGAAUACUGACAGAGAGACUGCCUCAAAGGUGAGACCGGAAUUAGUAAUAGGGAGAGAGGAAGAUAAAGAGCACAUUAUAGAAUUGUUGAAGGAGCAAAAUCAUGGUGACAGCAACUUCAAUAUUAUUGCCAUUGUUGGGUUUGGAGGUUUAGGAAAGACCUCGCUUGCCCGGUUGGUGUAUAACGAUGCGCAAGUAGCAGAUUCCUUCAAAGGGAUAUGGGUGUGUGUUUCUGAAGAAUUUAAUGUUCUUAUAAUUUUCAAAAAAAUUUUGAAGUGUCUAGGAGAACACAAAGUGGAUGACUGGAAUCUAAAUGAAGUCCAAAAAGAAAUUGAACAAAAGUUAAAAGGGAAGAGAUAUUUACUUGUGUUGGAUGAUGUGUGGAACGAAGAUAUUUUAAAGUGGAAUGAUUUUUCACAGUAUAUGGUAUUUGGUGCUCCCGGAAGCAAAAUUAUUGUGACAACUCGUAGCACCAAAGUUGCAGCUACUAUGGGGGUACACAGUCCUUUCCUUUUAAAAGGUCUCAAUGAGGAACAAUCUCAGGAUUUGUUUGAGAAAGUGGCAUUUGAAGGACGUCAAAUCGAUCCAAAGCUUGGACAAAUUGGAAAAGUUGUUGCACAAAAAUGCAAAGGAGUUCCUCUUUCUAUUAAAUGUUUAGGAGGUUUGAUGAGACAAAAGCCUGAUGAAAAAUACUGGUUGUUUGUCCAAGAAAAUGAAAUUUGGAAUAAUGAUGAUGUUUUGUCGGUGUUAAGAUUGAGUUACAUUCAGCUACCAAGUAAUUUAAAACAAUGUUUUGCUUUUUGUUCGCUUUUCUCAAAAGACUCUAGGAUAUAUAAAGAUGAGUUGAUUCAUUUUUGGCGAGCACAAGGUUACAUUCAAUUAGGGAAUAAAAAUGAGAAUGUACAAGAUAUUGGUGAUGAAUACUUUAAUGAUUUGCUGUCAAGAUCAUUUUUUCAAGAGGAGAGGAAAGAUGCAAAUGGGAAUAUCAUCUAUUGUAAAAUGCAUGAUCUUAUUCAUGAUCUUGCAUUAUUCGUUGCUGGUCGUUAUUUUCAUUGGAUGAAAAAUAAAAGAGAAAAAAUUUCAAAAGGAGUCCGUCAUGUGUCAUUAGAAAAAUAUUUUACAGUUGUUUUCACUCGAUCGAAAGCAAAAGUGAUAAGGACUUUAUUUCUCCGAGCAGACAUUUUCAUGGACUUAUUUAAUCGAAAGGUAACUUUUUCGAUCUUCAAUUGUUUACGCAUGUUGAAUUUGAAUUUGAUGAACAUUAAUAUUUUACCAGAUUCAAUUGGUGAACUGAAGCAUUUGAGAUACCUUGAUCUUUCUAGGAAUACUAGGAUGAAAGUGCUCCCAGAUGCAAUAGUCAAAUUGCACCAUUUGCAAACUCUAUUACUCAAUGGCUGCAGCAGUCUUAAAAAGUUACCAAGGGAUAUACGCCAAUUGAUUAGUUUGGAAUAUCUCAAAAUUGAUUAUUGCAAAGACCUAUCCGGCUUGCCAAAAGGGUUAGGGGAAUUGACUUCCUUACAAAGAUUGGACAGAUUUGUUGUGAACUGUGUUGAAGACAAUUUAUCAACUGCAGCCACGUUGAAUGAGUUGAGUAACCUAGACCUUGGAAACUGCUUGAAAAUUGAUCAUUUACACAAUGUGAGGAAUGUGGAAUUAGAAUGUAAGGAGGCAAAUUUAAAGAAAAAGAAACGGCUUCAGUCUCUGCAAUUAUCUUGGGAAUCUUCCUCUCCAACAACAGUGGCUAGUGAAAAGGAUGAGUCAUUGUUAAAUAUUCUUGAGCCACACCCGAAUUUGAAAGGGCUGAAGGUAUCCGGUUAUGGAGGAGCAAGGUUUUCGAGUUGGCUAUCUUCAUUGACUAAUUUAGUCGAACUUGAUAUAAACAAAUUUUGGAAUUGUCGAGACCUGCCACCCUUGGAUCAUUUUUCAUCUCUCAAGUCUCUCAGUCUUUAUCGUUCCAAUGCUUUAAAACACCUGCCACCCUUGGAUCAUCUUUCAUCUCUCGAGUCUCUUUCUCUUGGGGAGUUAGAUGCUUUAGAAUAUGUGGCAGAUUCUUUUUCCUUGCCUUGCUCCACUUCAAGAGAACCAUUCUUCCCGUCCCUUAAGAAACUUUUGAUCCGUGACUGUCCCAAUCUCAAAGGAUGGUGGAAGACAACGAAUGAGAACCAAGGAUCAAUCGCUGAGCAGCCUUGCUUUCCUUGCCUUUUCCAGUUAGAAGUCAAAAAUUCCCCAAACUUAACCUCCAUGCCGCUGUUUCCAUCUCUCGAGCAUGAUUUGACUUUGUAUGAUACUAGUAUAAGGCCUUUGGAACAAACAUUGAAGAUGAAGAUGACCGAGGCUAGCAUGACAUCAGAAGAAGCAUCAUCUUCAUCAGGGAGCGCUUGUCAUUCAUAUUCUUCAACUACCUUUCCUCUCUCCAAUUUGAAGCGUCUGAGUCUUCAAGGCAUUAAGGAUUUAGAAGUUUUGCUAGAAGAGUUUCUACAAAAUCUCAGUUCUCUUGCGUGCUUAUGGUUGAGCAACUGCCCUAUAUUAGAAUCGUUAUUGCCGCAAAAGAUGAGCUGCCUCACCUCUUUACAAUAUUUGUGUGUUACAAAUUGCCCUAAUCUGAGGGCUUUGCCUGACUGGAUACUCAAUCUCACUUCCCUUAAAACAGUUGAAAUUCGGGGGUGCCAUGAAUUACAGUACAUGCCAGAAGGGACGCCUCAGCUUACAUCUUUAGAAAAAUUAUCUGUUUGGAACUGUCAUAAUUUGAGGGCUUUGCCAGACUGGAUACUCAAUCUCACUUCCCUUAAAACACUUGAAAUUUGGGAGUGCGGGUCAAUUUUGCAUCAAGCCUUAAAAACCCACAUUAAAAGUGGGCCGAUUCGAAUUUGCAGCNGUAGGCAAUUGCCCUAAUUUGAGGGCUUUACCUGACUGGAUACUCAAUCUCACUUCCCUUAAAACACUUGAAAUUAACGGGUGCCUUGAAUUACAGUACAUGCCAGAAGGGACGCAUUGGCUUGCAUCUUUAGAAGAAUUAAUUGUUUACUGCCAUAAUUUGAGGGCUUUGCCAGACUGGAUACUCAAUCUCACUUCCCUCAAAGACCUUUAUAUAUGCGAGUGCCUUCAAUCACCGUACUUGCAAGGAGGGAUGCAAAGCCUCACCUCUUUAGAACGAUUGAUGGUUCAUUAUUGCCCUUAUCUGAGUUCUUCCACACAUUCUCUCAAAGCACUUCUAAUUCGGGGGUGCCCUGAUUUAUACUCCUGGAGAUGGAGGUAUUUGUUUUCCACUAUAGAAGAAUUGAAUGUUCAAAAUUGCCCUAAUAUGGAGGAUUUGCUGAAUCGCAUUGCUAAGAUGAUCAUUUCCCUCAAAACACUUAAGAUUUGUAAGUGCCCUGAAUUACAAGACUUGCCACAAAGGAUGGAUGGCCUUACCUCUUUACAAGUAUUGUCAAUCAGUGAAUGUCCCCGGUUGUCGGAAAGAUGUGAAAAGGAUACCGGAGUCCUGUGGCCUCGCAUUGCUCGCAUCCCAUCUAUUAUAAUCGAUGGGCGACAGAUUCAAUGAUGAUCAUACCAUAU
rnacentral:lncRNA from 1 species